UCAAGUUGUGUAAGGCUACAGGGACCUGCCUCUAAGCCUCCUGUAGUCUGUCACUCACUGAUACCCUGCUGAUACCGUGCUAGGCUCUCCUGUCUACCAGACAACCUAGAAAUCUCUGCAAUCCCUCCUGACCCCUACCCCUGUCCCCAAAACCUUUUAUCUCCCUCUUUACAAAUCACUGUCUGCCCAAAUUCGAAUACUGUGAUUAGGUUUGUUUUGGUUUUUUGGUGGUUUUUUUUUUUCGGUUUUGUUUUUGUUUUUCUUGUUUUUUGUUUGCUUGUUUGUUUUCUUUUCUCCUUAAAUGCAAACCUCUUGGAUUGUUUUUAUCAUCCCCUUCUAGCAGGAAGCGCAAGAGCACAUAGUAGCCUCGAAUAAAUAGUAAAUGAGUAUGUGCUAUGGAAAAAAAAUACAUUCUCUCUCUACCGCUCAAGGCCUGGGAAGAAUCAACUACUACAGAAGAGAAAAUAGGUGUGGGGAUCCAAAAAAAAGAAAAAGAAAAAAACCUCCGAUGAGAGAACAGGUCAAAGAAAAGAGGCACCUCCUGUUUUGGUGCCUCCCUUAAUCUUUCUUAAAUACAAGGACAAGUGAAACAUCCCACCACUUGAAAAGGAGAAAUAGUGUCACUUUGUAGCCAGCAUCUGUGGCUAAGUAAACAAAAGACAUUUCUUUAUCUGUGAGAUUCUCCCCCCUUUAUUGCUUAAAGAGGCGAAAUGUAGUCUACCCCUUCCGCUGUGACCUCCGUUUUGUUUUGUGCUCCUAAACCAAAGUCACUAACUGUUCACAGUGCCCCCCCACAAACAUUGAGGGAUCCACCCCACAUCUUCAUCUGGCUCAACAGCCAAGAUCAAAACUGCAGUAGAUGGGGCCUCCCUCUGCUCCACCUCACGUCGACUGCAAAUGAAGCCGUAGGUGGUGCAUCUCAUCAAGAAGACCCUAUCUUCCUGCUAGAAAGAAUUCUCUCCUCUAGGAAACAAUGUGCGGCAGCCACAUCUAGGUCUUGGGUAAAGAACAUCACUCCUGGGGGUUGGGGGGGCACCUCUUCAUAACUGACGUCUCUUCUCCUGGCUUGUCUCCCCCUUAGCCACUAAAAGAAUCUUUUCAGAACACAGCUCUCCUAGAGUAUAUGCUUAGCUGAGCCAAGAGGAAAAGUUAAAACUAGGGCUUUCCCUCUAUGUUGCUUUGAACCCCUCACUAGAAUUUCAUGGAAGUCCAACUUCUUUGGGUUACAGAGGAAAAGCAACUAUAACCUUCCUUGAUAUUUUAAUGUACCUCAUCAUCUCCAGCCUAAAGAGAAAGCCUCCUAAGAACAAAGAUAAGGACAUCUAUAUACGUGUGUGUGUGUGUGUGUAACAAAUAAAUGAGUAAGAAGACAUCUUUGUCAUCAUGAAGUCUACCUUUCAAAGCCAAUUAUAAAAGAGUUAUAUCUCCGUCCCCCCAGAUGUCUCUGUCUUAACAAAACCAAACCCCUGGAUCCCAGAGCCUUUCUUCUGCUAAUUUCACUCUUUCUAUACACAUUUCCCCAGAUGUGUGCCACUCACUGCCUUCCAAAGGGAACUGAUUCCUAAAGGUUUAUGGAAAUAAAUACUCUCAUCUGGCUCCAGCAAGGUUACUAGAUCUCUAGGGAGAAGAUUAGCCAGGUCUGUUGAAUAAACACGUUCAUCUGACUUAAACUGGUUCCCACUUCUCUCAGCAGGAAAGUCAACAAAGCUGGUUGAAGCUGGAGGAUAGACAUCCCAGGCUAAGCUUUUUAAAAUCUCUCUGCUCUUUUGUCCACUCUCACCAGCCUCUCCUAUAAGGGAUCAUUUGCAUACUUGGUAUGAGGCAAGUGGGUCCCUCUCGGGAAUAAAUGAGUAACUCCUUCUCUGUCUGAUGCUUGCACCCCACACAAGAGGACUGCCUACUCCAAGAUAGUGGGGAGGCUACUUCAGAAGAAAGAGAGGAGUUGGUAUCUGCUGACUCGGUGGGCGGGUUCUAUCCAAUGAGGUCAGAGGAGAGCUGUUGGCAGUUUCCGUUAAAUUCUGUUGGGGCCGGCAAGUGGCCACUGGCAGUUAGUUCUGAGGUGGCGCUAAGGAUGCUGGGAUAGAUUAAGUGAGAAGCUGACCCCUUACAUCAUGAGCCUCACACAAGUCCCCAACGAAAUGGAAUACAAGAGUGAAGGGCAGUCACAAAUAAUGCCAAGGCCCCUUGUUAGUCUUUGGCUUCCAUAUCCUUCCUCAAAACUUCAAGUGCUCAUAACUCAGCAUCUCCACCUCCUGUCAAGGCCUUGGUGGCAAGGCCUGUAGGUAAAGCUGAGGAGUAAGGAGUACAGAGAAUGCAGAUAUUGCCCUAAGCAUUGUAGUCAGGACACUGACAUCUGUAAACGAGUCCCCUCAGGCCAGGUCUGCUAAGAAAGUGCAGCCUCUCAGCCUCAGUAAAGUGGGCAAGUUGAAGUAAGUCCGGACGGUCAAGAGACAUCCUGUACUCCUUCCCACUUAGUGCCAGAAAGUCUCAUGAAGAUCAGUCAAUUAAAUAGCAAGAUAGGAGUCAUUUAGACACGUCUUCUUGGAAAGCUGGUUAAGUUCUCUACUAGUGUGUGAUAUUGGAGCUCCGGCUCUAAAAUGAAAAAACCCUGAAUUUCAAUUCUGGAUCGUGUUGGAAACUAGAAAAGACUUUAGACAAGUUACUUAACCUCUUUAAACCUCAGUCUCCUCAAUCUGUAAAAUGGGGAUAAUAUUGGGUAAAGCACUAAACGGUGUAAGGAAUAGGCAUCAUGUUCAAUCCAUGGCUACCUUCCAUACUCCUGUGUCCCACUCUGCUACUCUCUCCUCUCUUCCUCUCCACAACAGCAUUGCCUAUAGACAACGUGAAGGGCUCCCCACUCCAAAUUAGGCAGCAUCAGACAGUCUAGAAAUGUCUAAGCAGACUUGACAGUCCAACCAGCCUCCUAGGUUUUGGAGAAGCCUAAGAAGCUGGUGAUGUGUCCAGAAUCUCACAUGGAUAUCCUACAAAAGCCAGUUAGAUCUUUUAGAAAAUGACCCUCAACCCUCUUUCUAAAAGAACCACAAGUACAUUUUGCUCAUUUGGUUUCUGAAAUGGAUGCUGGAUUGCAGAAAGGAUCAGCUGGGUAUUGAAUGGCGAUACCCAGCACCCAGCCUGUCUAUGAGCCACUUCAGAGUGCCUUGAUCUCUUGACAGAAUCUUCACCCUUUAAGACUUCAAGUUUCAGUGGUUUGGUGAUGGCCAGGUGGAAGUUGCAGACAAAACCUCGAUGGGGCACACUAGGAACGCUUUCAAUAAUGAUUCACAGUUAACUAGUGUGUGUGUGUGUGUGUGUGUGUGUGUGUGUGUGUGUGUGGCAGGGGGUGUCCUUUCUCCCUCAUCUUCAAUACGGUGGGCAUGUGGUCUAGGAAAAGUCUCAAUCUCUCUCUUCACCCCAGGAGUAAUGGGAAAAGGGCAGGGCAAGGACUCUGUCAAACCUCUCUGCUCUUUUGCUGGUUGCAUUCAAAGUGAGGAAGCCAGGAGGAAGAUACCUAACCAUCCAUCACUGUUGCAGAUGCCAAUUGAGUCUUUCUCUUCCUUGCCUCUGCUUCAGUGUUCACCUGUGCUUCUGACCCAAACUAUGCCCCCACUGCUAGGCAUCCAGCAGCACUUCGCCUGCCAAAGGGCUUCCUUUUCCAAAUUUAUAUACAUUUGUGGUAGGUAACAUUUUAGAGGCAUUGUUUCUAAUUCCUUAGGAGAAAACCACAAUGGCUACAUUCCCUAUCAAAGAAGGUUUUCAGGAGACUAUGCAAGUUGAGUGCUGGUGACGGGCACACUCAUGAGGCUGGGCUGGCAGGGACAGUUUGGUUUUCUGUGUUUCUUCCUUCACCGUUCAGGAAAUCUCAGCUCCUUCAGUAUUGAAACGACACUUAGGUAGGACAAAAGGCUUCAGGGAGGGACUGGCAGUGUGAGCAAGAGUAGGGGAACCCCUGUCUUUCACCAAAGAGUAUAAAAGGAUUACGUCAUACAUGACUCCGGAGUGCUCCCCAACAGUGAAUGUCCACCAUCUCCAUCCUGAUGUUCUUAAGUUUCCAGUUCGCCUAGCCAGGCUCUGAUUUCUGAAGCAAGUAAAGCUAAACCCUCGAAUCGUUUGGGAAAUGAAGGUAUCUGGUUAAGAGACAAGAGUCAGAGCAGCUCUUUUGUCCUCAGCUCUCAGGUCCUCUGCCCAUUCACUUGGAGAGGAAGCAGAAAAACAAGCCGAUGAAUGUCAACCGAAGAAGACUAAUCAGCUAUGUGUGGAGACCCUUCUUGAUAUUGAGCAACUUGAAAAUGAAAACAAGGCUCGAUGCCCCAACCCUCAACCCCAAAAGCUUGGAGUUUAUAAGCACCUGGAAAGGGGGAAACUACCUAUGGGUCCCAAGUAGGGAUGACUGGAAAGAGGCUCAAACCAUGGGAAAACCCACAAAGGCCUAACCGAGCAACUGAAAGCAAACCUUCAAACUAUUCUUUUUCCCACAAAGGGGAGGCCCAUCUCCUUCAUAGACCUCAUGGGGCCUGUCUGAACCAAAUGCAAAAUGCAAAUCCAAAUGGAACAAUAUAGAAAAGAAUGAAAGAUUUGCCCACAGUUCUGAUUGGCUCAAAGGACAACUUACAAAGGCAUUUGGGACUGGGCUUGCAUGUUAGCAGCACAGGUAAAUCUCUCGAAAGCAUGUCUUCAAUAAUGUCACAGGGUCUCUUGUGCCUUAUGGGGAGAGACAUUCAGUUCCAGUAAAAGGAUCCCUGAAGUUUCUGAGGGUAGGCAGGCUGCAUAGCUCAGGGUCUAGUCCUUCAGUUCCAUCCCCACCCCUUUCUCUGGAGGUUGGCGAAGUAUCUCUCCUAAGCAAACAUUGGCUAGCUCUUGAGAGCAAGGAGUAUGAAAUUUUCUAAACAGUAGAACUGAAAGACAGAGAGCCUCAAGGUUCACAGGUUGAAGAGUGUAUGACUGAAGCACUAGUGAGCAGAGGCAAAGUGGAAUGAGAGCCCUCGGUGUCAAUAGUCUCCAGACCUGGGUAUUGCCCAUGUUUAUUCUCUUCUGUAAUGACACUCAAGAUCUUUUGGUGCACGAGUUCAAUGCUAAUAUUUUCCAUGUUUUCUACAGUGUAUGGUUUUGAGCUCACACAAAAAUUUGUUGAUGCAGCAAGGGUGAGCUCAAGGUUAAGGUGUGCUUAGCAAAGUCUAGACAGUGCCUUAGCCCAGGAAUCAAACGAUUUAGAGCUUGCAGCAGUAUGGGGACCCCUUGCUGGCCGUAGCCCAGGGUGCCAUCUGAAGCCUGUCUCUCUCUUCCCUGCCUCUGGGAGCCCAGCUAUGCACCGGCUGAACCUGGGAUGUCUCCACACUCAUUCUUAACAAAGCUCACUCAUCUACCAAUGGAUGAACAAAAGACAACAGAAUCACCUCCCCGUCAAAAAAAGAAAUACUAACUUUGUGUUUAAAAAGUGGGCUCUUCUGUUUUCCAAAACUGGCCAUGGCACAGUCCCACAAAAAUUCUAUUUCUGUGGCCCCCAUGCUGUCAUAGCAGGCCCAUCGAGGAUAGCCCUCCCCCACCCCACCCCGCCCCGACCCGCCCUGCCAGCACACCGCAGGGCUGUCUCCUUGAAUUAAGAGAGCCCACAGCUUCUGUUGUUUGCCUUCCUUCCCUGCUCAAGGAUUUCAGUUCCUUUGCCCUGGUGACAUAUUUUUUUUCCUUCUUGUACAAUCCUUGGAGGAGGGGUGGUCACUUUGGGUGUUUCAGCCCCUUCUCAGCCGAUCCCCCGCCGCUAGGUCUCCUAGGGGGUUAGGUGCAUUCAACCCCAUUCUGCAGCCUUCUCUCCAAGGCACCUUCCUGACCCCCUCCACUUGCACUUCUUACUCUUUGUGCUCACCCCACAGGGUCACACCCUUGCUUUUGGUGUCCACCGUACCCAGGGCCACGCCCUUUGCUCUUGAUAUUCGCUUUUAUCAGGAUCGCACCCUUUGCUCUUGACUAUAUCAGAGCCGACCCUCUUUCUUUUGGGCCUUACCCCAUCAGGUUAACUCAAAAGGAUGGAUCACCUGGCCGGUUCAUAAGGAAAACACUGUGAGCUGGGGGGUCUCGCCGGGCAAUGCCACUCAGGAACUGGGCUCUAUGCCCUCACGGCCUGACAGUGAAUCUGCACAUGGUUUCAGCCUUCUGGGAGUUCCCAAAGUUCUGCUGAAAUCAGUGUGGAUGGCAAACCUUCGAGAUUUUUGAGUGUUCCCUUCUUGGCACAAGAAAUGGUUAGAUCUUGGAUCACCUCCUAAAAUGUCCAGAACAUUUCACUGAGGGACUCUGUUCUCUAAUCACUGCGACAAAAAUUGUAGAGAAAAGGGAGGCUGGAAUUGGGGUGCAGGGAACACUUCUGUGGAGGUGCAGUGGACGUGGCUUCCCUAGGAUGCUUGGAGGAUGCAUGCAGUAACGCCACACAGACUGCCCACUGGGACCAGUGGUUAUCCCUUCACUGUAAAGCAGGUAGCUUCUAUUAUCCUCAUUUUACAAAUGAGGAACUAGGCUCAGGGACAUCAAGGAGUCUCCUUUAUGUCACAAAGCUAACAAGAGACAGACCUGGACCUGGAAAUUGGACCAGUGAACCCAAAGGUUCAUGAUCUUUUUAUUACCUUACACACCACUCUCCCAACUGUGUCACUGGUAGGGCCUGCAAGGUACAAGUGGCAUAGGCCAAUCACCUGAUCUCUUAAAGGUUUACAUUUUCAUGUCUUCAGUAGAAAUUCUGUCUGCUCCUCUUCCUUCCACCUGUCUAGCAAUUUUUAAAAGAGUAAUUAAGAGAAGGUGGGAGAAAGCUAGCUAGCUUAACCCACCUUCCCUUUCGCAGACAAAGUGACAAGGUGCUGCAAGAGAGGGUCUGGAGGUGACCAGCUAUAUACUCAGGACAGAGCUCAGAGACCAGGCCAGGUCACUCACCCGCCUCCUCUGUCAAAAUAGGUGAUGGGCAGAGCCUGAACUGGGGUGGCGAAGGGAGUAAGAGCCAAGACUGCUGGUGGGGGGUAAGCAGGUCAUGUACAAUAUAGACAAUGCAGUCUUUCCAAAGUCAAGGCAGAAUAGAGAGAAAGGUGUCAGUCCACACAGAGGCAGAGAAGCCAGGGUGGCCACUGCUAAGGAUCUGAUGCACCAAGAUGAGCUUCAGACCACGUUUGCUGCCUGAGCUGAUGACUGAUUCCUCAGGACGCUUUGGCCUUGCAUCUUUUACCUGGUCCCUAAAACCACGAUGACGUCUCUCCAGUGCAUGCUCCACUCCAAAGACAGCAGCACCAGGCAUUCCUUAGACACUGGUCACCAUGCUUUGUACCCUGUGACACCACCACCCUAGUCAACACAGGUUUUCUAGUAGGCAGCUGGCUGGCAUCUCAGCAUACAGCAGCCACUUUGCGACCUCCCAGCACAGUGACUUUGCUGGAGCAUCUGUCUAGUCCACGACCCCCAACUCAUCCUCCCUCUUAUGAAGUUGCAAACUGAGACCCAGCAGAGAAGCAAAGCAAAAGCCAAGAGGUCCAGUGGGAACGGCCGGCAGUGGGGUUUAAAGGCCAAAGAGAUGACCCUGCUGACAACAGAGCUGAAGGAUGAGACACUGUAGAGGUGGUGUUAUAUGGUGCCUAACGUACCCCAAGGUUCCCAUUUGAAUUUCCUUGUUUGAGUCUAUAACCUUCGAUAAGCCCACAUCGCCUAAGGAGACUAAGCACAUCACUCCUUUGUGAUACUGGAGAAGGUCCCAGUAAGUUGCUGUGAGAAGCCCACCGUGGUGUCUCUGAAGUGACACAAACCUCCAUUUUAAUGUCCACCCACUGGAGUAGAUAGAACAGAUGCUGAAGGACAGACUGAGGGUGGAACGUGGCUGGGGAAAUUGAUUCAACAAAGGAGAGGACACAGCUCUGAAGGGCUGACCAGAACACCAACUAGCAGGGCCCUAGCCAAGAGGGGUGAGCAGAGCAAACGGGCAAAGAUACUGACACUGUACCAGAGGUGAGGGCUUGCUCUACGUGUGCAUUUGUGGAAACGAGAUUUCCCUGUGACCUGGACAAGGGCUGGCUCCCCUGAGCAUAGGAAGGGUGCACUGAGAAGUGUGAGUGUGACCAGUUGGUUACCACGACAGAUUACUCCCAGCCCAUUUUAAAGUGACGCUCGCACAUGAAGCAGAGUCUCUGGAUUCUCCCAGCGAUAGCAAGGUCUCUGAGGUCAGAAGCCAGAACCUAAGCCUUCUUCUCCAAGCCUCAAAGUAGUGGCCUCCAAAUGGCCCACUUGAAUCAGCAGGAGCCAACUAGACUCAGGAGUCUGUAUUUACAAGCGUCCUCAGCUGCCUACACUAACACUCAGUAACAUUUACAAACCUCUGCCCUGAGGGGUUAGCCACUGGACUCCAUUCAGUGCCCAUUGAGGCAAUGGGUCUUCAAGAGGUUUUUUUUUUGGGGGGGUGCUUAAUCAUAUGAGGGCUGUGAAAAGAGGGAUGAGACUAAAAGGGGGAAGGGCCAAGAAGUGGGGGGAAAGUGACUUCUUUACCCUUUGAGAAUCUCCCAUUCUUUUUGAUUAGUGCCUUAAAUCUAAGGGGUUACCCUCCUCAAGGCUGUUUGAUUCUCUUCUCCAGACUUUUUGCCACAACUCCCUGAGUCUUGCUUUAAAUUGUCCUGACACUUUUUAGUUGUUUUCUUGUACAAGUUUGGAAGGUCUGAAUAGGUAGUUUUUUAUCUUCAAAAGACAUUCCCCACCCCAAUCCCAACCCCACCCUGAAUCUAUACAGCCAGCCCAGGAAUCCUCUUACCUCUCCUUUUGACCCUGCUCUUAAAGACACAGCUUAGGCAUCUCUGUGGUAACCUUAGGAGAGCCAGGCCUAGCUCCACAGUGGCUGAAGCUGUCAGACUGUCUUUAAAUACCCACCCUCAAAGAGCAAAGAGUUUUGAAGUCUGCAUCUUUACCAUUUGAGGGACUUAUACUACUAGGAAGCCCAUUUUAGUAAGGCUGACAUAAGGCUGACUCCCCAGGACUAUAUCCCCUCUUCCUGAAUUCAGGAAAUCCUGAGCCAAAACCAAGACUUCGUGUGCUUCGAGGUACAAAGCUGCCAAGAUGUGGGGUCCUUCAUUACCAGUGCUAGAUGUGGCUAGAAGAAACCACCUAGCCUAGUCUUUUACUGCCACAGAUGACUCUUAGCCUGAGGAAGUUUGGGAAAACACCUAGGACAUCCAUGUGGAGAGAGAAAUGUGGCUAGAAAGAAUCCUCGGAGGUCUCUGUCAGCUCACUUGUCGCCUGCUUCUUGCUUCUCCAAAGCUGUGAGCACCGACCAAAAGGGCUGAUGUUCCUAUGGCUGUUGCCCUGGAAAUACUGGCUCCAACUGGGUACAAGAUGAGAAUAGGUGUGGCUCACUUUUCCUGUGGCAGCCAGGGGCCCAUGUCAAAGAGAUCUCUCUCUUCUUCCCACUAUUUCAGUACAAUGAGGGCAGGAUGUGCACCAUAAGACUGGCUUAUUGUUUUGGAAUGCCUCGGAGGAGGGACGUUGAUUUGUACAUGCCCACCAAGUGAUCUAGUGGAUUUAGAGAAGUGUAUCUGGUGAGAAUAAUUGGCCAGGAGAGUGGAGAUGGCAAGCAUUGGAGUAAUAAGUGAGGAUUCUAAGUAAAAAAAAAAAAGUCCUGGACAGCAGGCAGGUUGCAGCUCCCGGUACGUCCCUCAGUGUUAGCUUAGGCUGUUCCCAGUUACAGUUGUUUUUGCUUGUUGGUAGACUUAUGAUCUGGUUGGUCCACAGCCCUUUAUAGCAAGGGAGUCAAGGGUUCAGGCACAGCCUGCAAUCCUGACCAAUUCCAAGCUGGGAGUGGUUAAACACUGAACUUUGUCAGGAGUAGUGAAUAUAAAGGGAGGGCUCCCAGCCCCGGUGCUGGUGGGGACUAGAGUUAAUAUUUUUGGUGUCGAUUAGAACCAAUCUUGUGGGAGGAAACAUUGGUCAGGGUCGGGGCUUUCAUCUCAAGAUGUGUAGGAGGUCUGUUGGCUCUGGGGGCCCCAGGAGGUGGCCUCCUCUAAAUGGUAAACUUAUUCCUUUGGGUCUCUUUUGGUAGCAUAAUAAAUCUUAUUUCCCAGGUUUUUUCAGUGUACCAUAGACUGGACACUGGACAUCCCUAUGUUGUCCCCAAUCUCUGUCUUAAGGUUAUGUGGUUAUAGGUAGGUCUCUGUCCUGAAGUGUUUCAGAGAGAGCCCUAUAAGUACUUGUUGACAUGCUUCCAGGGGGCUCCAGUUUCACAACCCCAUUUAGCACAAUUGAAAUCCCCCCAUUUCCUGGCCCCUGACAAUGUAGGGGGGUUCAUUCACAAGUCAUGAAUAGAACUGGAUUUCCUGUAUUUUUUUUCAAAAGAUAGGUCCCCGAAACCACCUCUUCUAUAGCUUAACCAAACUCCAAAAGUGGGCAUAAAGAAGUGUCUACAUGGAACCUGGGGUUGUUCAUCUGUCAAAUUGACUGUCAUCUUCCCUGAGCCCAUUAUUCCUGAUUCUCAAGUCCAGAUAAGGGGACAACUUGAGGUUCUCAUGCCCAUAUAAAAAGAAAGCAAAGGGAUUAAUGAUCUUGUGUUGGUCUUUAAGGAUCCAAAGUCCUAGCAAGAGUCCAUUUGUUAUCAAUAACUUAGGGUUAUUAUUGCUGUGAUGAAACACCAUGACCAAAAGGCAAGUUGGAGAGGAAAGGUUCUAUUUGGCUUACCCUUCUAUAUUACUGUUCAUCUUUUAAAGAAGUCAGGACAGGAACUGGCACAGAGCAGUAAACCUAGAGGCAGGAGCUGAUGCAGAGGCAGUGGGGGGUGCUGCUUAUUUGUUUGCUCGACAUUGCUUGCCCAGCCUGCUUUCUUAUAGAACCCAAGACCACAAGCCCAGGGAUUGGCACCACCCACAGUGAUCUGAGCCACUUCCAUCAAUCACUAAGAUGAUGCCUUGCAGCCUGAUCUUAUGGAGCCAAUUUUCUCAGUUGAGGGUCCCCCACUUCAGAUAACUCUCUCUAGAGAGUUUGUGUGUGGAGUUAACACAAGAUCAGCCUGAAUAGUCAGUCAUUCUCAAUGACUUUCUAAUUGGGAGUGAUGAAUUCAAAGGACGACACUAGCUACUUUCACAGCAGUUGGGAUGGUGAGGAUGACAGGGUCAGGUCCCUUCCAGGCAGGUUCUAGAGUCUGGACAGGUAUCCUCUUUAUCCAAAGGCUCCUGGCAGGACUAGUGGUAGUGGGUGGGUUUAGACAUGGGAGAUGGCAGAAUUUCCUUCACAGUCUGCUCAAUGACCUGUCACGAUUCCUGUAAAGGAGAAAGGAAGGAUUAGACAUUUCUGCCUGGGAAAUCAGAGUUUGGGGAGAAUGGGAGGUGGUCUUUCAGAGGAAGAAGCCCCUCCAAGGAAGGAACACAUCUGGCCCCAGGCAGAGCAAAGGGAGGAGGUUGACCCAAUUUGCUCCAGUUUCUAGGACCACUUCAGUCAGAAUCUCCUGAAGAGUUCUAUUUAUCUUUUAUACCUGACCUGAGCUCUGUGGCCUAUAUAUACAAUGUAAUGUUUAACUAAUAUUUAAUCCCUUUAUCAGAUUUUGAGACACUUUGACUAGGAAGACCUGGACCAUUGUCUGACCAGCUAGGGGCAGCCCAAACCUAGGAAUCAUCUCCCGAAGAAGUUUCCUAGUAACUGCUGGAGCACUGUUUAAGUGGGAUGGGACUCCAUCCAUCCUGAGAGGGGUACCUAUGAACAUCAGCAAAUAUUUAUAGUUCACAAAUGGUAGGCCUGAUUUUCAGGCAAGUCCAACUCCCAGUGUCUCCAGGCCCAUUUUCUCCAGCUUAGAUCCUCUGUGGGAUCUUCCUUCCUUUCCCCUUUGGAGUUUAUCCCAAGCACAGGUGGCAUAUCUAAAAAUGGUGUCUUUAAUCGGGUUUUCCAAAGCCAGAACAUUAAUGCCCAAGUCAACACUUCAGCUGUUUUUAUAGCCCCUAGCUGAGUGUCUUGAUGGAGAUCUAUAACCAGUUGCCUUAACCAGACUCCCAGGAAGGAUGGGUCUGACCUCCAGCAGCAUUCAUCCAUCUUCAUUUAUCCUGUGUGGCCAGUUCUUGUUUAACCCAGUCAGUCUUGACUGGGUGACCUGGUGAAUGAGCUCUGGCAGGGUUACCAGGGUUUGGAGAGACCCCACUAGUUCUAAGGUCAUUUCCUGGAUGACUACCGAGUCAGCUGCUCUGUUGUUGUCUCUGGCCUCUGGGGAAUCCCCUUUUCUGCAUCCGUUGCAAUGGGAAAUGGCCGCCCUCUUGGAUAACCAGAUAGCUUCCAAUAAAGCUAAGAUUUCUUGUCUAUUUUUUACUUCCUUUCCUGCUAAGGUUAGCAAUCCUCUUUCCAUAUAUGAUGCACCAUGGGCGUGGGCUGUCGUUAAAUCUAUGAUAUCUCAGUAUCAGCACCAUAUUGGAGCAUAUGGUGAUAGCUUUGUCUCCCCACCUCCCAACUCCCAUGGAGAGCUUGAGUCAAAACUAAAAGCUCCGAUCAUUGAGCUGAGGUUCCCCUACUUAAAGAUGGUGCCCACAUAGUCUUAUCUUGGAUCACCAUCACUGACACUGCAUACCUGAUCAGUCUUGACAAAACUGUUUCCAUAUGUGAACAAAUAACUCAUCUGGUGUCACUAAUAGGUCAUCAGUCAGGUCAGGCCUGGUGGAUUGGAUCAGAUCAGAUACCUCAAGACAGUCAUACAGGGGACCCGAGGAGUCGUUCUGGCAGGAGCCUUGUAGGGUUUAGUGCCGACAUCUUAUGAAACCGAAUGCAGGGUUGAUCCAGAGCAGAGCUUGGUAUCGGGUCAACAGGGCAUUAGACAGCCAUCUCUUGGGUGUCCCCAUCAAGAGGGCCUCAACAUAGCAUGGAGUUGCCAGGAACAGUUUGUGCCCUAAAGUUAACUUGUCAGCUUUUACUAGUAGGGUGGUGGUAACUAUGGCCCUCUAGAUUCUGGCCAUCUAGCUGUGACCAGGUCAAGUCUCUUGGACAGAUUGUGUUCACUCUUUUCCAGAGUCUCAGGGUUUGCAUGAGGACUCCCUAGGCAAUGGCUCUGGCCUCAUCCACAUAUUAGUAAUGCCUGAGAGAGCUGUGACUUUGGAAGUCACCAGAAUUGGGAAAAUCAGUCACUAGGACCUUUUUCAAGGCUUUGAAAGCACUCUGUGCAAUCUCAGUCCAUUCCAAAGGCUGCUGCAUACCCUUGGUGCUGGCAGAGGAGUUUGGUUAUCUCAGCAAAUCCCAAUGUAUCCCAUGGCCAGAAGUAUCCAACUGCCCCCACCUCCACCAGGAUUCUCAUACUUGUCUUUUCAAUGUGGGAGCGAGGAGAUAAAGCAUCAUGAGACACCUUCCCAUUAGGUUGAACAGCCUAGGUAUAUGACAUAGGGACAUCCAACUGACCCUUUUUGGCUGAGACUCUGGACUGCAGGGCUUGGAGGGUAUCUAAAAAGCCUUCUAUUGCCUGUCUACAUUCUUCCUCAGUGGGCAAAGCUAUGAGGAAGUCAUCUAUAUACUAGAGUGGAGUGCUUUGUGGAUAUUUUUGUCUAAAGUUCAUCAGACCUGCCCUCAGGCUUUCAUCAAACAAUGUUGAGUUUCUGAACCUUUGUGGCAACUGAGUCCACAUGUGUUGACCAAUAUAUCCACACUCUAGGUUGGUCCAUUCAAAGGCAAAUUUGCUUUGGUUGACUGGAGCUAGUAGGAGACAGAAGAAAACAUCUAUUAUAUUUAGGACCAUAUAGAUAUUCCUUUCAGUGGAUGGGGGCAAAAAACUUGGGAGAAUAUAAAGGUUCAUACAAUGGGGUGGAUGUUUUCCACUCAUUCAUUGUCCUCCAUUAAAUCCUUUACUGAUCAGAAGUCUCAAGUGUUGUGUUUCAGGACAGGGAGCAAGAGAAUGAAUGUUCCAUGAGGAGUGGCAGGGAACAAAAAUUCCUGUCCCCUCAUUCAAUUGAUGUGUUUGGCAAUCCUUUGCUUGGUUUCCUGACCCAUUGGGGUAUUAUUUGACCCAUACUGGUCUUGCAGAACAUAAUAACUGAACUAUGAUGGAUGGCCAGUGAUGCUACUUCUGGUGGGUUCCACUCAGCCUAAACAUCAGGGUACCUUGCUUUGAGUUCCUGCAGGUAGCCUGAGAGUAGCUCUUCCUUCCUUGUGACCAAAUACUCAUAUAAGAGGUACUCAUAGGAUGGAGGACAGGUGACCAGAAUAUUGGCCUGAGUCUAGAGUUAGACUGGCCAAAUUCUCCCCCAGAGCAAUGGUGGCUCUUGGUUUUUGUAAUAGGUCCCUUCUUGAUCAGUGGGUAUGAGCAUUCUGGCGUAAUCAGAAUGAGUCAUAGUAUCUUGUUCCUUGGUCUACAGUUUUACAGGUUGUCUAUGAAAGUAGGCCAUUUGGCCUAUUGCUCCUUGGACUGCUGUCUUCCUGGAGCUAAGGGUUACUAGUAGUUCUGUUAAGGCAAGAGUGUACUACUUAGUGUCUAUUAUAAUGUUGAUGGAUUUGUCCCCUAUUCUCACUGUCAUCCUGGGCUCCCAAGGGCUAAGUCAUAUGGAGUCCUGGCCCCCAUCCAUUUUCAGCUAGCUAUAGGAUUGGACAGCUCUCCUCUUUUUCUUUCCUGCUAGGACACUCCCUCUUGCAGUGAACCUUCUGCUUACAAUAGGCACAUUAGUCCUUUUACCAUUUUUCUGGCCUAGCUCCCCAUCUCCUCUCUUGUCUGUUUCCCUGAGGGCAGUUAUCGCCACCCAGAAGAGUUUCUUUCCCUGUCUUCAGCUGAGUCUCAGCUGUUAUAAACUGAAAAAUUUUCAAGGUUGAGAGCUAUUCAUUCCUUCAAAUUCCUCUAAUUUCUGGAGUCUUCUCUUUAUGUCAGGCUGAUUGCAUAAGAAAGGCAGUAUUCUUGGCUCUCUGGUUUCAGGGGUUGGGGGGGCAAUCUGGGUCUAUGGGGUUAUAUAACUGAUAUACUUCACAGAACCUUUCCAGAAAUCCAGCAGGUGAUUCAGCAGGUCCUUGAAUACAAACUGACUAACCUUGGGUAAGUUGGUAGAUUUUUUUGACUACUACUUUUAACCCUCCCAGUAAAGUUUGGUGAAAGGUGUUCAAUGACCCUUACCUGCAUGGGUAUUAAGAUCACAAGUGGGUCAAGUACAGGGAAAAGUUUACUUUGUCUGGGCCUCUGCAUCUGGAAGUGUCCUGUUGCCCAACCUCAGAGCCAACUUCCUACUUUCCAGCUGAAUUGGGUCUUGCUCCUCUACUUUGAUCAGGGUGGCCAGGAGUUGCUGACAGUCAUCCCAAGUCAGCUGGAUUGUAUAGAAAACAGUCUUUUAACAGACCAAUAACAUGUGGCUUCUAGGGAAAAGGGACACUUGUGGUUCUUCCAAUUAUAAUAAAUCAUUGGUGGAGAAGGGAACAUAUACCCAUAAAUAGAGGCAGGGGACCUUUCCCCUUUUCCUCAUCUUCCUCUUAUGUGUAACAGGGUCCCAGUUCUUCUUUCAAUGGGAGAAUGAACAAUGAUCAUGCAGCCUCAGACAAAGCCUGUCUGACCUCCCCAUAGGCCGAGCUGCUCCUCAUGUACAGCAGGCAGAAGGAGCCAGGUGUAGUAGAAUUGGCCCUCUGUCCUCCCCACUGGGGUGAAUAAUUUCCUCAAGAGCUCUUGAAUUUCCCACUGAUCUAGUCAAACCAUAAAGAAGAAUGUCUAUCUCUUCGGGUGGAGCAGGGGGAACCUGCAGUACUUUUAGCUUUUCUGGGUGUUCUGGCCUGAUCAGCAGGACCCAUGGCUCCCAAGAAAAGAGAGCAAGUCUUCAACCAUAGGGAUAGAUGAAGGAAAAGGAUUGCCAAGGGUUCCUCAGGCAGCCAUCCUACUUCAAAAGAGGGCCAUUCAAGUUCCCAAAGAGGAUGGAGUCUUACUGGAGAUAAAUGAACACAACCAUUGUCCCCAUCCAAGAAGCCCUUUAAAGAGUUUUUAGCAUACACUUUAGAGGGCUCCUUGGGAACUUCCAUGUGGUCUGAUGGCAAGGGCAAAUGACAAACUGACUUAAAGAGCCAAAGACAAUGCAGAUACAAAUAACAGCAACCAGAUAGUCAGACAAUCAUAGGUAGCCAGCUGCCAAGCAUUCAUUCAAUAGACCAGGGGCUCCAGUAAUGUCUCACAAGGACCCCUGACAUGGUAUCUGCAGUUAUACCCAAUCUUCCCACUUGUGUCCUAAUCGGAUGGUGUCUCUACAGACUAAACUUAACCUCCAGAGGUGUUCAGAGCAAAUGACUUUCAAUUUGCCUUUUUGGGUGGUACUGUUGGUUGCCUUCAGAGUGCUCAUCAGUGGUUGGUCAAGAGGAUUUUCCUGAGGACCUGGAAUGUCUCAGGGCACGCAUCCUCUAGGUGUACUCCCCAACUAGAUCACUCUUCUGCUCUUGGGGGUCCCGAGGCCUCUAAGUCCCAGAGUCCAGUCUCUGAAGAGUUCAGUGGGCCCUUCCAAACAACCAGAGAUGGUUGAAAGUCUUUAUUCCAGCCAGAUUGGAUUGCAUUCUGGUAUUCAGGACCCAAGUGUCAAGCUGAUGUUUAGAGUAAGGAGAUUUUAAAGGCAAAAACCACAUCCUGUUAUCUCACUGGGCAGCUGCAUAGGGAGGUUUUGAGCAAGCAGGAAAUUUAACAGAAGCCAAAAUAGAUUAGCUGAGCACUUUGACCUUGGGUAAUUUUCCACAGGGCUUUCCUUCAAGAAGAUCAAAUUCCAGACAAACCUAAAAUGGCUUCAGCAAGAAUAAAAGAUGAAGGAACCUCUGCACACUCUUGCCCUGCAACAAUACAAGACUAUAUGAAGUCAAAGUGUGAGGGCAACAGGUAUAACGGACAUGCCUAGUGGCCAGUUCAAAUAGUUGCAGGUUAUGGAUCUGGAGAGGAGAAGCAGACUACUGCAUAUUAUGUCAUGUGGACAAAACCUAACAUGUACAUGUGCUGCCAAUAAUAAUGCUCACACUACUCCCAGGUAGGGCCAUUCUGUAUAUGAACAUGUGCCAAAACCCACACCCUAAGUCCUCAAGAAUAACCAUGUGUGUAGAAAGAACACUGGACUGGGAGUAAAAAGACAACUUAGGUUCUAAAGCUAGUUCUGCCACUAACUGUGAGACAUGUGACAGACACUUCCUGUUUUGGGGCUAAUGAUAUUUCUUAUAGGCUGAAGGGCCUUAGCCUGCCUGAAAUUUUAAAGCCACUAUGAUUUAUUUCCUUAGCAACCUGUAAGCCAGCCACAUAAAUAGCAACCCAGUGGUCUCCUGUCUCUGACUAUGAGCAGUUAGUUAUCAAAGUGAAGCAGCACUGAAGGGGACCUACCAUACACACUAUCAACCUCAAACACCUUUCCUGGGGGGAUGGGAGUGUGAAGGUUGCCAAUAUAAGCAUUUAAAAGACCAAAAUAAUUAUUUCUUUGGUGACUAAUGGGUAAGAUACUACUGUGCAUGGGCUGGGUAAAAGAAUCAGUCAUUACACUUCAGUAUAGCCCAAUUUAAUAGAGGGGAAAGUGGCAGCUGGGAAGUAUGAGAAACUUUACUUCUGUGCCUUAGAUGCAGCAGGUUGCCUUUAAAAACCUAGCCCUCUGGACACCCAAAUGAGUGUCUUAUUUAGAAAAUUGACAAUGCACUGAAUUUGUGCCUAUGCAUAGCCUUAUCGUUUGGUGUGUUCCUGUCAGAAACAAAAUAGCAUUCACAGUAAAUGUUCACAGACAGAUGACCAGAUAUGCAUCCCCAGGAAUGUGGAUCAAUUAUGGGCAUUUCUGUGCUGGAACUGAACAAACAGCACUCCAAGAAACCUCAUGGUUGGACAUCACAAGCUGGUGCUGAAUGACAAUGGCCAUACCCCAAAGAGCUCAAGCCAGGGGACUCUGCUUAAGUCCAAACACAAGAUGGAAGACAAGUUUUAUAACCACAGACAACUAUUCUGUACGAGGAGGAGUACGAGAGGCUCUUUGGGGCUUGUUGAUGUUCUGUCUCUCACAGUAGAUGAUAAACACCAUGUUGUGAUGUUUUCAGUCACACCUGUGACUUGCUUUCUCUUAUAUAGGUAGAGGAGACUGUAAUGUCUAUUUUUAAGUUACUUUUAGAAUUAUUAUUCAUGAGAAAUAUGGAGGUUGGGUUUCUCAGGCUGGGGACAUACCUUGAGGAGAGAGCGGUAAGGGUACUUGAUCCCAAACCUUAAUAACCCGAGUUUAAUCCCCAAGACCAACACAGUGGAAGGAGAGAACCUAUCCCUGUAGGUUUUCCUCUGAUACCCAUGCACCCACAUGUGUACACAUACACCCACUCAUAUACACAAAUUGUUAAAAGUAUAUAUGGGGAGGCAGGCUAGAGAGAUGGCUCAGUGGUUAAGAGUGCUUGCUGCUCUUACAGAGGAUCCAAGUUUGGUUCCCACCAUGUCAACUGUUUCACAACUAUCUAUAACUCCAGCCUCAAGGGAUCUGAUGCUCUCUUCUGACCUCUGACCUCUGACCUCUGACCUCCUCAAGCAUCCACACAACUUGGCAUAUAGAUUCAUGGACCUACCCAAGCAGAUAAGCAAGUAAAAAUAAGUUCAGUUUCUCUUAUUUUACUCUUUAUUUCCUUCGGAUGCUAGGGUCGGCCAGUUCUUGAGUUUGCCAGGUCAGUUCUCUAUGGCUGACGAGAACCCAGCUGUAAAUUUUUAAAAAAUAAAAAUAAAAGUACCACUUGUUGAGUUUUGGUGUAAUAAAUAAGAAUAUCUACAAUAAUUUUCAAAAAGUUAUCAAAACACUUUUCCCCUUCUCAAGUAUGAGGCACCUGCAGAAGGCUGGAGUUAAACUGUGUGCUUGGGCUGGAACAGGCUCAAGACCGAAGCAGAUGCAAAAACCCAUGUGUCACCUCUUAACUGAGGCAUUGAAAAUAUUUACAUAAUCCAACAGUGUCUACCAUCUGAAGUGAUAUUCUCUCCCUCCUUCUGCUCGGGGGACAUUAGGCAACCUUUUGGUUGUCCGCUGAGAUCUAGGAGGAUGGAUUGCUGCUCACUUGUGCAGAGAGGUGGCCCUGCACUUGGGGGCUUCCAAGAACAAGAAAUAACCUUGUCCAACCUCGGCCCUUCAGAGGUAGAAAUCCUGAUGAAAACUGACACCUCCCCCAACACCCUUCUCACUCAGUGUGUGCUCAAAUAGAUAUGAGUAUGAGUAUGUAACAAGAUUCUUUUGUAAAUAAAUUCACAGUUUUACAAAAAGUCACUAUUUGAAAUUGUAAUGUCAGUGGGUAAAACCCACAUAAACAAAAGCUCUUGGGGGUUCUCAAUGAUUGUUUGUUUGGUUUGGUUUGGUUAUUUUUGUUUUUUUAAGUUGAAGGAAUCCCAAGACCAAAAAUUCAAGAAAUUCUUAAAGCAUAUGGAGAAUAUAGAUUACAUGAUGACAUCUAUUGAGUAGCUUUUACACACUAGCCAGAUUAAAAACAAAAAGUAUUCACAACAGGUAUGACAAGGACAUGUGGCUUCUUCUGAAUGAGGGGAGGAGUCUGGAGUACACUAACCGAUGAAGAGCUUGGAACCAGAGGCUGAUGCUGAUCCAAAUCUCUCUCAGAUGCUCACCCUGAAAAACACACCCACCAAGAAAAUCCGCCUGUGAUUCCCAAGAGAACACUCUGUAGAAGGGAUAAGGGACACAAGGAACAUUUCCAUUCAAAUGUGAGUGGCAAGAGCAGCAAGAACGGAACUGUGCGAGGCGGGAAAUGUAAAACCCAGAAGUGAAACCCGGAAGUGCAGUCUCAGGAAGAGGAGCAAGAAGGAAAAGGAGGCAAGGAAGACCUUAGAGCCCUUAGACCUUAGAUGCCACACCAGAGCUGAGUCUUGAAGGAUGAGUAGGGAUUUGGUCACUUAAAAAAAAAGCAAAGCUUUUCAGGAGAUAACUGGGGUCGACUGUGCUGUGGGCAAAGGCCCAGAGUGUGAAAUCCCAAGGUGUAUAUGUGGAGACAUUAUAAAAGAGUAUAAAGAAAAUGAACGGCAGACUGUGAUGGCUACAGAAGCUCUGUGUCAUGCUAGGCAUCCAUCUUGGUACCCGUCAGUCAUUUGUCUCUGACUCCAGUCCCUGGAAGAUAAGUUCCCAGUAACCCUAGUUCAGUCACCCCACCCCACCCAAAAACGUACAGCCGUGACUAGCUACUUGUUAUGACUAACUGCUCCCCCCCCACACACACACACAGAUACCCAAUGAUUGUUUCAAGUUGCUUUAACCACUUGGCAGAACAGAAUAGUUUUUGCUUGCUUGCAUAGACAUUGAAGGUCUUCACGUGUUCUGGUUUAAAAGACCUUCCCCAGACCCCUUCCAUCAGGGCAAUCUCAAAUCUAGCUCGGAGUCUGUUCAUUCUUUAAAUGGAUUGAGUCUAUAGCCUUUUACCAGGGGUCACAUACUCCAUAACAAGAUGAAGUAUAUACCACCCGACAAAUAGUCUCCAGUAAAAGAAAAAAAAAUCUGUAAAGAAAUAGAAGCUUUGAGUUAAUAAAUCUCUUCUGUCUUUAGAAGCAGCUGCGCUGACUCUUGACUCCCCACUGGUCCAGCAUGAAAGCUGCCUGCCCUCCCUCUGUUAGGUUUCCUUGUCUUUACACUAGCGCUUUCCCUGACUCAAGGGCAGCCAGGUGGUACUGAUGGUCGUGGCUGAAGUUCCUUCAGGCCAGAGAAGGAGGGAAAUGACCUGUUCCCUAUCUUACAUGUGAAGCCAACGAGGCUGGAUGGUCCCCGGAUUAAGUGUCUUUUAGGUCCCUGGUCAGGUGUUAGCGUGGCUCCCAUUGUGGGGAAUUGGCCAAGAUGGGUGAAUGUCCAUUUCAGAAGCAUCCGUCGAGCCCUUACUGAAACUGCUGGACAGGCAGGAAGGGCAUUAAGCAAAAUCAAAGAGGGGAAGAGAACAGAGACAUUUUCUGAGGUACUCAGCUCAGCGUAUGCUCACUGACAGCCUUCAUAAAAGAGUGAGCCAGUCUCAGACACCUGUCUUUUGCCCAGGGCCGCAGGAGAGGCUGCCCCUUAGAUCAGGCACUGAGCAAGUGGCAGAAGUCAUGUAACCAUAGCUGGGAAUCUAUUUCCAGAAGUCUGGUGAGAUUUGAAUUCAGAACCUGUUGGUGGGAAGGAGCUAGCAAGGUGGGCAGGGACUGGUGAACUAGGUGUCAAGGAGUCUCCCAUCAGUCUAUUGGUCAAUGUUAUUCUACAAACAGAAGAGAAGCAGGAGGCCCCAGAAGCAGAUAGAGCUGGGGAAUCGCCCUGCAGACUGGGCCGGCAGUAAGUGAGGACUCCUGAGGGGAUGUGGGGAGCUGACUUGGUCUGACCUGAGGAUAGUAAGUUCUUCAGGAUAAAUAAUGAGUGGUUUGCUGUACCACUCUGGCCAGCAAACCUGGGUUCUGGUACACCUAUAGACUUCAUCAGCAUCUGUGGGUCAAGGCACAUGAGAACCCAGACUUUGCCCCCUUUUUUUAAACACAUGUGAGCAUCCAACAUGUGAGCAGGACACCCAAUGGGGACAGGCUCAUUGUAAUUGCCUCUAAUCUGGAUGGAAUAGCAUCAGCAUCUCCAUCAUUAGGGCCACAAGGUAGGAGGUGCAGGAGGCUGCUCACACCUGACCCCAGUAAAUGCCUAUUGUGGAGAAAUAGGUUCUCAGUUCAGCACACCUGAGCUUGGAGCCACUGAGUUUGGAGUUUCUUACAGAAGACAGCAAUGUCAAAAAUGGAGACCAUCUAUCCACAACAGCUCUGGUCACUUGAGUCCUCCCAUAGCUGUUUCCUCACAUAGGUUACCAUAAGUUGGCAGUCUGAGUACCACAACUGUCUGAAUACUUCACUUUCGAUACAGGAAGAACCAGGUGCCAGGCACUGUUGGUGUUAAGCCCUUACAAAUAUUAGUCUAUUUGCGAAUCUUAGUCGGUCAAACUAGCAGUAGUUGAUAAGGUGUUAUAAUAAGCAGAUGUUGGGUCACUCAAUAAAACAAGUGACAGUGACGAGUCAGCUCAGCCCUCCCGAGAAGGCAGUACAAAGCCAUGUCAGCUCAGCCCUCCCGAGAAGGCAGUAACAAAGCCACAGGCCACCUCUCCCUCACCUGGCAUGGCUCGUGUGCCUCCUUUGCAGGGUCCGGGACAGUGCCUGUGUCUUUACUGCUCGUCUCUAAGCAGUGGUGGCAACGAGAGAAGCCUCUGUGUUUAUUGUUCACACUCUUGGUCCACUUAGAGGACAUGGGGAAGGAGGACCCAUACCUGUGGAGCUCUGCAAACCAGUUCCCAGGAACCUUUUUGAAACUGUGCUUGGUCUCUCCUUUCUGAGAGCCACUCCUGGAUAACAGCCAAACACCCAGAAACCCCGAGAGCCAAGGAGCUUCAACAGGCACCACGCGGAAUCUUUUUCUUUUCUGCCUCUGCUUUUCUCCUGCCUUGGAGGAAGGCAAGGCCCCUCAAGGAGCCACCAGCAGGAGAUGCAGGGUCGCUUGGGCCAACUUCAUCUCCCUCCCUGGCUCACCACGCCUCAUCUCAUGUUGGCAGACUCUCCCACUGACCUGCCCGGGCUGCUCCUCCUUUGUUUUUAUACAUCUUGCUGCCUUGUGCCCUGAGCAGCUUCUCUUGUAAGGCUCACUCAGCUCCUUUGGUGGAAUUUGGAAAACCUAGCACAGUCUUGAAUGUACCCCUUCCCCUCUUAGGGAUGACAGAUGAGACCUCCAGAUGCCCCCUCUGAACAAGAAAGACUUCUGCUCCGCAUUUACCCACCGCCAAACAUGGGUAGUGGGUGACUGAGAAUUUACUUCUCCUAGGAUUUUUCCCUGGCAAGGCCAGUUUCUGAGCUUGUGGCAAACAAGGGACCCUAAGGCUGUUACCUGGGCCAAGAAUCCUGGUCUCCUAUCCCCUUGGAGGCUCAUGGGGUGAGAGAGAACAGAAAGAUAGCAAUAUCAGAACAAAGACAUUCUUGUGUACUGGCCUGAGGGGCUGAGGGUUUUAUGAUCUGUAAGAGAAAUACUCUCUGGGCUUCUGGGGACAGGAUGUUCCUGGAUCUAGAAGGGCUGAAGGAAAGCCCCAUAGCAUACCUGAUAAGAAAGGAAAUUAACCCGAAUCCUUGCCAUGGGCUCUCGGCAAUGAGGAAUGAAGGGAAACAAAGCUACCAUCAGUGACCGUGCCUAUGCAUUGCCUGUUUAAUGGACAGAGAACUGGAGAUGACUUAGUGCAGGGCAUACUGAAAACAGAACAAGAAAGUAUGAGGACGAAUGGCGUGGGGUAGAGGUCGGGAGGGAGGAAGAGGGGAGGGGAUGUGACACCGGAGGGAAGCUGAAGUCUGACAUGACAGCUCGAAGAAAUUUGCCACUGUGGGGGCCGGGGGGUGGGGGCUAUGCGAGUCACAGAGGCAGGAACAAACUUAGGGCGCAGACACCAUUGCAAUUGAGGUUGAUGACUGCUGUGGAGGUAGGUGAAAGGCAGGUGUUGUAUUGCUUGACUGGACCCAGCCUUGUGAAGCCAAGGAAUUAACUACGCACUAAAUGAGCAGUCCUUGGGAGGCUUUAACGGAAGAGCCAGCAGGUCCUUUUACAAUAAGUCCAUGCAGAAUGGAGAAGAGGAGAGAGGAGGAGGGAAGACAUUCCUGAAGACUCUCUAUGAGGCUGCAGUCUGUACUGGCAGGGGAAUGUGGAUGGCUUGGCCUAGGAUGGCCAUAGUACCAAUGAUAGGACCAUGGUCACUUGGAAACUACUGAGACCCUCUGGUGGAUUGGAUGUGAGUUAGAUGGGAGAAGGAAGUGGAAAGUGAAGACACCCAGGGGCUCAGAGCAGUGGUGAGGGCCCUUAGCUAGAUGGGGAAGAGAAGUGAAGCAAGUGUGGAUGGGGCUUGCUGGAGGCCAUAGUGAGUUUGGGCAGGAGUGGCUUGGCACCUACUAUCAUAGGACCCACUUCACCUCACAGGAAGGGGGCAUUUCUCUCGUGGUUCCAGCUCCACUGGGAAAACCAUCAGCAGAGCCUACAGGACACAUGUCAUGUUCAAGGUCAUAAAACAGUGACUUUGUGCGUGCGUUCGUUCGUUCCACAAACACCUAUGUACAUACCAGAAGGAAUAUCUGCUCUUGCCUCCGUCUCCAGAACAAUCAGUCCAUAGAAUCCUUCCCAUCAGAGUCUGUUGCUUCUUUAAAACAGUCUUCCUAGUAGAUGCAACCUCAGCAAUUUAUAAAUAAGCCCCAGUCGUAACUUGAACUUCCACAAUAGAGGAACCAUGUCUACAGGGCAGCCCAGGACCUACUGCCUAGUGUCUCUACCUCUGGCCCACUGCCAAUCCUGCCACUGGCAAUCUCUGGGACUCUUGUACUUCCUGUCACAGGAAGCCAGCUGAGUUAUCCAUAAGGGUUUAAGAGGUGGAUCGUGGAAUCACUCAGACAGGUUGGGUGGGAGCCGGGUGGAGAUCCCAGACGAGAGCUGUUCUGACCACCCAGCCCUCCUUCCCCCCUUUAGGGCUCUAAGAAGCUAAUUGCCUCCAAUACUCUGGUUUUAUAUUCUUUCUUUUGCACAACUUUCCCUUUCAGUUCUUUCUAGUAAACAAAACCCAAAAUAGCCUGCCUGACGCCUGCUCUCGACUCUGCCCUGCCUUUAGAUCAUAUGACUUGGACGUAGCCCCAGCGCUGUGUUUCCUUGUCAUUCUAGCUCGAGCUGUUUACUCGUUUGGGUUUUCUGUUUCAUUUUUGGUUACUGUCUGAUUCUCUUCCACACUUGCAGUUUUCAUUGUUAAGUAUCAAAGGCCCCUUUGAACAGCAUUGAUAACAGUCCACAAUCUUGCCGUGGCUGUGGUGGGGUCCUCUUGCUCAGGCUGGUUUUAGAGACCCUCCUGUCCCAAGUUCAUUCAGGCAAGUUGUGAGACUUCCACAGUUACUGGUUUUACUCGGUUUUUGUUGUUUCUGGCUUUUAAUGUGGUUUGGGAGGAGGGCCAACUCUGUUAGAGACUUGUCUUUUCUAAACACAUUCAAGGUAAUGUAGUUUAAAGAACAAAUUUCAAGGGAUGUACAGAGUCGUCCAUUUUGGUACACAAUUUCGGUUUCGUUGCACAGAGAUUCUACGUUACAAGAAGAUUUAAAUGAUUCUGUUGGAACCAUCUGCUGAGCUGCAGAGCAUUAAAUGUGACUGGAAAUGUCUCUCCUUCAGUCACUCACUCAUUCAUUCAUUCCACAGACAGGUAUGGAGCACUGAGAGCUGGGAAGACAAGGAAAGAAGUCCACUGGGUACAGCAGAGAAGCUGCUUCUGCCCAGAGUGACAGUCAUGUCUUUCCAGGGGUCAGAACCAGAACACAAGACGGGGUCGGAGUCGGAGUCGGAGUCGGGUCAGGGGUGGGGGGUACGUGAGCGCCUACUGCUUCCUAUUCUCCCUACUUCCCAGGUGCCCUGUGACCUGGUUGCCUGCUAGUUUUAGAAGAAGUCAUGCAAAGCCCUCUGUCCAGCUGGCCAUGGUGGCUACAGGGCACUCCCUAGGUGGCCAGGAGAAGCAGCAUCCUGCUGAGACCCUGAGUUCUUGGGGAGCACGGUUCCUGCAGAACUUUGUGGAAGAAAUGAAGUAUCUGGCCACAACAGCCAGUCUUCAUUCCCAGUGGGGACAUUAGUAAGAGGUGGUGGAGUGACUCGUGGCCCCAAUUAGCAGUUUUCAGAAUUUCCUGGCAGUAAAACUGUUUUGGACAGAGAGUUGAACAUAGUGUUAGGCGUUAAUUAACCACAGCUAGGAAAACCCCAAACAAUGGACAAGUGGUCACCUGCCAUGGAGAGAAGCUCACCAGUGCUCCACAUUGGAUGUCAGCGAGAACAGUGUGGCGGACUUCAGAUUUUUUUUAAAGUCUUUUGAGGUGCAUCAAGCCAAGUAUCCCCAACUAUCAAGCUGUUAUUGUCCCUUUUAUUGUCUUGUUUUCUUCAAAGGACUAUGACAGCUGACAAAAAAGGCACAGUGGCCAGUGGCACACAGAAUGUGAGGCUAGCACACGAAGCCAUGCUUCCAAAGCCUGUGGAUGCUUCAAAUCCACUCCUUGUAUGGACCAAUUAGAGCUUUUAAACUCAUAACAGAGGGAUUACUAGGGGUACAGGACAUGGGUGGAUUCUGUCCUGUUUUGUAUUGUUUUCCAGGAAUCUUAGGUCAUUCAGUUUUCAUGAAAGUUGUUCAUUUGGUUCAAUGGCACGCCAUUGAAAUGCACAGUGUUGCAAUAUGUAGACAUUAACAAGGGAUGGUCUGGAGGUCACUGUCAGGAUUCUGCAUAAAGAACCUUCUUUUAGUAACAUACCCAAAGUGACUGCUUGGCCCAGGCCACCAGUCCUUAUCGAGUAUUUUCUUUUAAAGGUUAAAUAAUUACCAAUAGAUAAUUGUUAUAAUACCUUCAUUUUGCAAUUGCACGGCUUUUGGUGGCUUUUGCCACAAGCACAGGAACCAAUCUGUCUCCCAGAUGCAGAAAGAUGGGACACAGAGAUGUGACCUCUUGCUCCAGGUUACAUGAUUAGACAUCACAAGCAGACAGCCUGCUGAACUAAAUGCAGGUGCUCUCUCACUCCGUGCUGUCCAAGUCCCUUGAUCCACAACCACCUAUGAGCUGUUUCUGGCACUGAUUGAGGCCCUUGGUUCCCAUGGAAACAACUCCAAAAUGAAAGCAUCACAUUUCACACAGGGGAGCUCUCAGAUGGAGAAGAGUGGGUCUAUGUAUCAGCCAAAGGCAUCAGAGAAGGCACCAUUUUAGACUUACUAUCAGAAUAAGUCAGCCCCAUCCGUGUCUCUCAAGCAAGCCGUUCUUCAGAUGGAUGCAAGCAAUGGUUGCUUUAGUUGACUUUGACAAUUGACAAGCACAAGUUACAGUAGCAGUUGUUGGACGGGAACUUUGUAACAGGUUAGCUAAUGGUGGCAUUUCAUGCUGAUGAAUCCAUCAGGAAAGACAUUGGGGUGUGUCUAAGGCUGCAGAGAAAUGGAAAGUAAUUAGAUAUAUUCAUUUGAUUUGCUUUUAGGGGAUCACACAAUUGACAAUACGACUAGGUAGGGCAGUCGCCUCUCAAUUUUCUGUAACUCGUCAAAGGGACCUAUGAGCCUACUCUAUUGACGCCAGCUACACCUAGGGGAAGCAGGAAAACAGAGAUCUCUUCGAAUAGUAUUUACUAGACACUUGAAAUUCGCAGAAAAUUUAAAUCGUGGGCCUGGAGUUACCUGCUUUUUGAUCUGUCUAAAUAAAGAUUUAAAAACAAAUUGGCAGGUAGAGCCAGUACAUUUCAGACUUACUAUGGACAAAGUGGGAGUGUUGCCUAAGCUUGAAAUACAAUGCGAAAUGCACUUAGACCUUAUUUCUACUCCUCUCCAGACCCAAAUUAUGCAAAGACUUAAAUAUAAAUGUGUAGCAUCGACAUUGUGCAAUGGAGAGUAUAUAAAAUAUAUAAAGUCAAGUGAUAAUGUGAUAUUCUUGUAUAUCCCUUGGGAGUUAAUGUUUCUACAACAAAAUACCUUGCACAUCAGCAUAAAAACAUCAACAUCCGGGGAGUCCUUGAGCCAGAAAAUAAUCCCAGGAAUUAAUUUGAAAAUCGUAUUUAACAUUAAAUGCUUCCAUUUGUAAAGGAAACUGCUGUGUUUAAGGGGGGGGUAUUUUAAUGCCAGGAAAGUAAUACGCAUCCCAAGGGCCAGGAGCAGCCUCAGAAAUUGAAGCCACUCUGCAUUGUGGAAAUGCGUCACUCUGUUCUUAUUUUCCUCGUUUUACCAUGAGCCAGCAGCUGAAGACAGUCUGUGACCCACUAUUUGGAUCAGUGAUCUAGAAAAUUUCUGACUACGUAGACAAGCCUCUACAAAUUGAAGGACUCAUGGAUAGUUGAGACAGUCAAGGGGAUCACCAGGGGUCACACACACACACACACACACACACACACACACACACACACACGAGCAUGUAUGUGCACACACAUGUUGCUCAGGAAGCUCCCAAAAGUCAGCACCAUGAUCUUGGUUAGAAAGCAGAUGUGGUCAGAAACGAGUACUCAGCUAAGGCCAUAUCCUGUCCAACGUUCUUCAACACAGUGGGCUACUGAAGUAGGAUGGGUUUUAAUAACAUUUGAGGGCUACGGAAGCUGAGUGAAUAUUGAAUGACAGACAGCCAUGGCCAGACAGAACCAUUGGCUUUGGUCAUUUACACAGGUAUUUGACAGUGGCCACAGCUCACCAGCUGCCUGAAAAGAAUGGUGUGAGGAACCCUCCAUAGGGUCCCUUCUCUGAUCACAGACUUCCCCACUCCCGUCCCUAGGAUAGGUGGGACCAAGUAGAGGCAAGAAGUUCACCUCCUGUCUUCAAUUGUCCAGGGACAUCCUCCAUCCUCUACUUCAUUCUGUCCCUCUGUAGAUAGGGUAGACUUAGGUCAGGCUAGACCUGUGUUUCUCUAAUGCCUCCCUCCUGAGACCACUCCUACAAGACCCUGCACCCUCCCAGCCAUAUACAGCAGUGAGAACUUUGGUGAGGCAUCAGGAGGACUUAUAAAUUCCAAGCCACCACAGGGGCUGACCAGGCACUGUCUCAUAAAUUUUGGUGGACAUCUUACCUUCCAGGCUCGCCAUGUCACUGCAAGCCAGCCUCACUUUUGCAGUCAAAGACAUGGACAUUAAUUUGGUUUAAGAGGAGUUACCUAGUGCCACACAGUAGAUGCCAAAGAUGUGACUCAAGUCUACUCCCAAAGCCUUCAUUUCAUUCUUAGAAUAGAUGAGGUGGGGGAAUGGCAUCAACACCUAGAAACAAAUCAAAUGUACACCAGAAGGGACAUGACUAAAUAUAUAUCAUGCAUACUGUGCUCGUGGCAUACAAUUAUGUGCAGGUGAAGUAAGAUAAAGAAAUAAGCUAAGAUUUCUUUUGAAAUGUUUGAUCACAACAACUGAGAUAAAAAUGACUACUGAUUGGCUCAAGUAGUAUGACCAGGAGAUUCAUCAUGUAAUCAACUCCCUGUCAGAUUUUAAAUUCCACUAGCCCAUUUGGAUUGCAAAGAGACAAACCCAUCCCUUCCCUAGUGUGGUAUCCCUCAUACACACAGAACUUAAGCUUAUAUAAGAGGCCUGGAGUCUUCCUUCCUCCCUACUGUCCCUCUGUCCCUCUGUCCCUCUGUCCCUCCCUCCCUCCCUCCCUUCUUUUUUCCCCUCUAAAUGUAUUGAUGCUGGGGUAUCUAUUAGAGUCUGGAGAAGAGGGCUUUCUCAGGGAGUUCAUCCAGGUACAGCCCUCGAGUCCUGGUCUGUGGCUCCAAAGCCAGCUUGCUUCUUGCCCUGACAUCCCUCACUUCUUAAGCAGUGUUCUGAAGGCCAUCUUCUAGCUCUCUCCUCCCCAUCCUUCAGUGUAGAGAGGGAGUUCAUAUCUGAGUUGCUAUCUCUGAAUGAUCCAGCAAUCUUUGUCUUCAUCAUACAUGCAAUGUUCUACAAAUUCGGGAAUUUUCUUGGUGCUAUGUCCUCAUGCCCUCAAGCCUUGAGGCCUUGGAGUAAAGGAGGUAGCCUUAUGUUUUCUUGUAACUGUUGAGGAAUUCACUGGAAGGAAAUUAUUUCUGCUCCAACUCCUGGUAGCAUAGCAUUGUGAGACAGUCUGUCCACACCAGUCUCAAUUGACUAAUAAAGACUCCCCCAGCAGGACCCAUGUCACAUCACCCUCUGCAGCCACCGGUGUGGACAAAACCUGUAUGUCAAGGCCAUGAUGAGGUAAACACUGAGCAAGAAUGGCAGGAGCCUUCUAUAAAGAUAAGAGUCCAGAUGGGUUGAGGGUCACAUACAGUGCAUUGAGCUUUUGGUAACCUGAUGGAGUCGGCUCUUUGGGGGUCAGUGAAGAGCACAGUGCAUGGCUCAGACAGCCAUUUUGACAAUGAGAUUCUUGUGUCUUGGUGUUCCUGUGUUUUCCUGUUGAUUGAACAAUGAGACCCCAGUCAGACAAUAUUAAUAUUGCAUACACAUUUCUUAAUUGUGUAGAGAGUUGGGGAAAUGUUAGUAGUAAAGAUGUAAUCGGUGUAGAGACUCCACUCAUUUUGAUCCCAGGCAUCAAUUUGGUGCGUGGUCUAGAGCAGCCAAACACUAACUGGGCAUUCCCUCUCUCCCUCCCUCACUCCUUUUUUUUCUUUUGUUUCUCAUCCUUACACAGACUUGAUGAGUGGAUCAUGAUAAAGUUGAAAGAAAUUGUCCCUCCAAAUGGAAGAAACAGGACCUGCAUAGGCCAUGACUCCAUUUCAUUAUAAUGUACCCAAAAUAGGCCCUGGAGGUGAACGUUUGUGUUCUUGGAAUAAUUAGGUCUUUGCAGUAGGCUAUGUCGAUGUCUCAGGUCUUUGCCCACAGGCUGACCCUUUAGCUCAGCUAACCCAGCAGCCAGCAUAUCUAGACAAAGAUUCUGCCUGCUGACAUUGUAUGGAAGAGAUUGCAUCACUGCUUCCCAUGUUAAGCCUGUGAGGAAUUGAGAGAUGUCAUCAGAGCCGGCAUCUGAAGCUACAUUUGCCAUUUGACCUUGUAUCUUCAGCUUGGUGAUUACAGGAAACCCUCCUGGAGAUUAUACCCUGGCACACACUUCCUUAGGUUCCAUGACUAUGAGGCUAUCUUUAGAUACACAUCCCAGACACUUGGCUGUCCCAAGAGACAGGGAUCUUCUUCAUAGGGGGAAGAGAUAGGGACGUUGAGUGACUAAUGAAUGGACUUUGAAAAUUAGCCUCAACACUGAAAGCAUUUUCUUAAUGUUCUGCCAUGAGCUAGAAUUUAUACAUAUGAACCAAAACAUGCUGUGUGUGUAAGAGUGAAUAAGAGAAACCACAGUAAACAUGUUUGUAUUAUUCUAUUUUUCUUCUGAGAAAAGUUCUACCUCUGUGAGUCUAUUUAUAAAUGCAGAGGCCAUGUGUAUAAACCUGUUGUAUAAAUACCUCUGGGAACGGAGUCAAGGGGGAAGAGAGGCAUGUUCUGACAUAAAAGGCAAAAUAUAGACCUUUGUUAGGUAUUUUGUACACACUCUAGAAAGUUUAUAUUUGCAGAGUUGAGGUGAAUCAUGUUGGAGCCUGUCCUAUCCUCCCUUUAGCUCCCCACCACCUAGACAGGCUAGUAGAGGUUUGGGAUGUGGGGUGCCUGGGCCACUAAGGUAGAGGCCAACAGUGGAAGGAAAAGCUCACCUCCUCAAUCCAUUGCCUAGGCCUCAAUCCAUUGACUGAAAAACCUUUUGCCUUGUUGAGCUGGUUUUAGCAUUUCUAGGCAGCCCAAUUUUGUUAGCCCUGAAAACAAUUAAGGCUAUGCACACAGCUGAGACUUCUCCAUGCAAAAGGAGAAGCUGAGCAGGACCUGGGCUGCAUUGCCGCCUUUUCUUAGAAGUCUUGCUUUUGGACAAAAUCUUUGGUCUAUUAAUAGAGAUCCUAAAGUCAGUAGCGGCUCCCAGGGCUGUGCUGGAUGCGACUGGAGCGGCAUCCCCAGCAGUGCAGUGUAGCUCUGGCUUACUCAGGGCUACUGCUGGGGAAGGGGUGCAGGGCCCUUGCCUUUCAAAGACCUGGCUGAACCUGAAAGUCCCUCCCUCCCCCACUGAGUUCUAUAGCACCCAUAGGACAGGGUGCUGUGUGCAAAGCAAAUGCCUGAAGGAAACCUUUGGGCUGAAAGUGAAGCCAGGGCUUUCUCCGGACUCUGAGCUGAACUUAACACAUAGUUGGAUCCUAAUUGUCCUCAAAUUAAUAAUUAGGGCAUUCAAGCAAAGGGACUUCCUAUUGCUGAUAAAAAGAAAAAAAAGAGGUGUUUUAUUCAAAAUCACAGGUGUUGAAGGCCAGUAGCCAUGCCAACGACGUGGUCACUCCAGAAACUCAAAGCACCUCCCUUGUGCUACAAAUCAACACUACUUAUGGAGCAAAGGACAAGAUCUCAAUUAUAAUGGCCUCAGUUUCCUUGCUGACCCAGGAAUCAUCUGAGACAUGUUCUCUCACGUCUUGGAGAUGAAAUAAAACAAAACUGUAAGAAGCCCAGGGCUGCACUUGACCAUGCCAGUGGGCAGCUCCCAUGAUCACUUACAGGAGGCUGAGGAGCUCCCUGAACUCAGAUAAAACACACAAUCCUUUGCCUUGACACAGAAUUGUGCAAAGAGCCAUGGUAGAGCAGAUUUUGAAUUUAUUUUUAAAAAGAGAAAAACUUUUCUGUGUCUUUUUGUUUGUGUUUUUUGUUUUGUUUGGUUUGGUUUUGACAUAGAUGCUAAGCAUGAGAGUUGAAAGAAAGGAAUCUGGAGACGGUGAGAUACAGCUGAGAGCAAAGGCAUGGUUGCCUAAGACAGUUCUACUUCAUUGUCUUUACAGCAGUCGCAUAUAUAGGACAGGCUAGAGGGAAGGGGGUCUCCAAAGAGUUGCUAAGAAACUUAAGUGAGACCCCAGGGUAGUGGUUCUUGAGGGGCAUCAGGAAGGACUACAGGUGAGGGCCACCAUCUAAGCCACUCUGAUUUAGAGAAUUAGGAUAUUGUCACUGUAAACAAAGGUCCUCUUGCUGGAGUUCUCAGAAAAUAUCUGGGUAUAGUGAGAAUGUUGGUUUCUUUGAAAAAUACAGAAAUAUUAUGGGAAUAUGUUUUGGUUUUAGUCCCAGGUGGGAUGUGAGGCUGCUUCAGACUGUCCUCUGCAGCAUGAUUUUGCCAGCUACAGGUAGUUUCUGCAGCUGUGGGAUGUGUGUGAUGUUUGACUUUCCAGAGGGUGUAUAAGUGCUAGGGCCCCGAGAGGUGGGGUGGGUUGUUUGUUGGUUGGUUGCUGUUGGUCAAGGUUUGUUAAGUAAUCAUGCGCAAAGAAGAAACAGGAAGAAGAAAUUUGAUAUCCUGAUGGCGAAGAUCAAACUUGCCUCUAGGAACUCAACGCUCAUAAUCAGCAGGAAGUAGUCUAAUGAUAACGUCACCCCCCUUUUCCCCUCCACCCUUUUUCCAAUGUUAGGGUGGAAAAGGGGUGGAGAAGGGUGGAAGAAAAAAGAACCCACAAAGUAGCCAAGUGUUGGCUACAUCCGGGAAAGAAGUAAAGCCAUACUUUAAGGUCAUACAGACAUAAAAUGUAAACGGAACGCUGGCCACUGUGCCAGCAUCUUUUACAGGAAAUGGUCAUUGUGCUGGAAUUCUUGGUUCUCGGUUGACAGGAAGCUUCAACCCACACUCUAGACUGAGGGACUCUUUCAUUCCUGAGACCCCAUCGUUUUUUCUUUCUGUCCUUCUUUGAUAUGGGACAUGACCUCCAGUUUUUGUGGGACAUGAUAUGCAAAUACGAGUCCCCUCCUUCUGACUUGGAAUGGAUCCGUGAGCCUAUCGAAUUUAGGAGAGGGGUGUGACACUUUACUGGUUGGGAAGCCUUUCUGCUAGUUGUCCUGGGUGACAGUGACAAAAUGUCCUCUUCCCUGGAACAACAGGCAGCUGUGUUCUCAUGAUACCUGUUUGAUACACAAAAGGUUCAAAAAGAAAAAAAAAAAAAGAAAGAAAGAAAAAAAGGCUGAAUCAACUCUAGAACUCUGCUGUUUCCCAAUCCAGUGUUCUUCCUAUCACACAGAAGGAGCAGAACCAUGCAAACUUCUCCAAAGGUGCACCCCAACCCUACUGCUGACACUUCGGCCUGGCCUGCAUGAGAGCACUUGGCCCGGUGUGUGGCAUCUAGCCUAGCGAGAAGGCUACUGGGAAUGGCCAUUCCCAUUCCUUUCUUAAUCAACCUCAGAACCCAGUUUCCAUUGCCCUGGGAAAACAUUGGCUUUAAGAAAAGAAAACCAUUGCAUUAGGCCUCCAUGGGUUUGGAAAUGCCAAGUGAGAGGCAGUAGGAAGUAUCACAGCUGCCCUUCUUAGUAAGGGAAGAAGGCGAGGGUGGUUGAGUUGUGGACCCUCAUGAAGGGACGGUUAUUUCCUCCUUACAGAGCAUGGCUAUCUUAUAGAUUUUAGGUUUUACUUUGUUUGGCGUUUUGUUGUUUUAUUUGUUUGUUUUUUUAAAAUCUGUUAUUAACACGAGUUUUGGUCAGAAGAAUGGGGUCUGAGUUGUACCCUUGACCCUGGGUUGGAAGUGUGGCACCCUAAACUGUCCAAAAGGUUUUACGAUGACAAAAGACAUUGCUUCUGCUCCUUCCCUUAAGAGUUAAUGCAAAUGAUCCAGUGAAUUAGUAAAAUGCCUUACAGAACACCAUAUUUCAAGGUCUGGAGUUAAGGCAUUCAGCAGUUAGGGGGUGUUUCCAAUCAAGAGGACAAGGAUUUGGAUCCUAUUACCCAAGUAACAAACCAGGCAUCCUGCAUAAACCCACAGACAGACAGAAACAGAGACAUCAAUAUUUUUCUCUUGUUUUUUUCUAAGCUAUCGCUUCGCGGAACAUAAUCUACCUGAAAACAUGUCAAAGAAGAAAGGGACAGAAAGGGACAGCUUCUCCUUCAUGAGUUAGGUACCUACACUCCCAGAAGCCCCUGGCUCUGUGUAGCUGCUUACAGAUUUCUCCCACUGCUAACCCUGCCCAAUUUCCUAGUUCAGAAAGCAUAGAACUUCUUUCCCUCUAUCUCUCUUACAAUCUUUUACACUAGUAACGAUUCUAAGCCUGCUUGCCUUAACAUUCUGAGCAUCCCCACUCUCCAAAGACUCCCCAUGCAGAGGCUCAAAGACAGUUUCCUAAGUGAGAAAGCUCUCACUACCUUUGUCUUCCUUUAGUCCAGCUCCCUCUUCCUGGCAGCUUUUCAGAUCCUCCCGCUAGCCCAGUCCAGUGUUUUUCUCUCAAGCACCAAUAAAAUUGUCCAUAACUUUUCUUCUGAGUCUGUUUCGAAAUUCUUUCAUCUGAGAACCUAUAAAAGAAGCUGAGCAAACCCAGCUGCCGUCCUUUAGCAACAUACUGGGUGUAAGGACACACACACACACACACACACACACAAUAGAUACAGUGGAUGACAAAGAGGCAGCUUGCUAAUUCCCAGCAGAUACUCGACCCCCUGGGAGGAAUGCUAACUGACCAAGUUAGUAAUGGGACAUCCCCAGUGAUCUAGGCAACUGCCUUUGAAAGAUGUGCCUGCACAGAUCUUCUCCCCCAUGAGUAAGAUUUGGCCAGGUAUGUGCUUGAAGAAGAGAUGAUCAAGGACAGUCUAAGCCAGUAUGAAGCAGAAGUGUGGUGAGGGUGAGUCUGCCCUUGAAAUGACCCAUCAAGAGAAAACUAUUUACCAUGCUAUAUACAUACAUAAUAGGGACAUACAGCCACCAAAAAUUAGGGGUUAUAUGGCCCCUGCGUACAUAGAACAUCAAAUGUUAUAAUCCAUUUGUCACUCAAGGAGCAGCCCAGCUCCUCCCUCCUCCUCCUCCUCCUCCUCCUCCUCCCCCUCCUCCUCCUCCCCCUCCUCCUACUCCCCCUUCUUCUUCACCUCCUUCCCCUCUUCCUCCGCCUCCUGGAAGUCAGCUCUCUCUCCCACUUCAACUCAGAAGAACCUCAACAAAGGAGUGGCUCUGGGGACAGAGCCUUGCUGCUCACUCAGCCCCUCUGCCUUUUUCUUCUAAACACAACCUUUUGCUAUCAACUACAUGUCUGACUUCAGUUGUUAAGUCACCAGAUCCCACAGUGGCACAGUUCACAGGAGGUAAGCUCACCAAAGGUGUCAUCACAGCUCAUCUCCCUGGCCUCUUGCCUUUCUUGCUGACUAUCUGUAGAAAGCACAGAGAAAAUGGUUAAACACCACUAGACUGUCACCAAUAGCCUUCCAUGACAAGGCAUCCAAGUACUAAAUAGCAAUAUAGGCUCAAUAUAGCACAAGACAGAGAUGCACUUGUGUGCACAUAGUGUCUGGCACUAAAAUGGAAAAAGGAAAAGCAUUGCUUUCUUUACUCUUCAUUCACCAGAAAUCCUGCCCCCAUUUUUCUUUUUCUCUGUAUCAAGAUAUGGGUUCCCAGUUUUCCAAUUUCAUGUGUAGACUGAGUUCUGGAGUUCAGGAACUUUCCCGCUUACUGCCUUUGUUAGAAGGCUCCAAUUAUUAUCCAGGACAAAAAAAAAAAUUACCUUGCUGAGUUAAACUUAAUGAGCCGCCUUCUACAAUGUUCCUCCCCAUCCCCCAUACACACACCAAGGGCUCUCAAGAAGCAGGACACAUUACGAUUUAUGGCUGUCUAAAUCUUUUGGACUUGGCAGAUUGGUUCUUCCUUUACUGAAGCAGAAUGUUCAAUUUGUUUGGUGGUGAGGUUUUGUUCUUUUCAUUUAAAUGUAUUUGUUGAGGGAGAUCAGUUGGGGGAUGGCGGGGGACUGGCACCCACGCUAGGGUAAGCACGUGGAAGGAAGUUAGGGGAUGGAUGGCCCACAGGAAUUUUUUCUCUCUUCUGUCCAUGUGAGUCCCAGGAAUCUAAACUCAAGUCGGCAGGCUUGCAGAGACCAUGCCCUCCCGCCAAGCCCCCUGAGGCCCCAGACUCAACCUGUUACUGCUUCUUAAGAGUCACCUGGCUCUUGUCUUCAAAAGAACAAAUUCUGUCAAGAGACAGGGACAGUCUGACAAAAGUUCAUUCAGCAGAGGCUAAGCAGAGCAAGCCCCCUAAAGACACAGACACAGAAGUUUAGAGUUGAGGAUUUAGGGAGGCUCUUAUGGGUUAUUUAUAAGGUGGGUGCCAUAUUUAGGGGUAAGAUGACCCUUUUUUGUGUCCCAAAUCAUGGUUGACAAGAUCUUCCUUUGGGGGUGUUUCUCUUUCCACCUCAUCUUCACAAGAGGAGGGAAGGUGUCAAAAAUCCUGGUGUAAGUAGCAUGGUGAGGUCAGGUCCUUUGAGGACUCAUAGUGGCCACACAGUAAUCGUAUAGAUCUUUAGCCACAAAGAGACCUUCUAAGGACAGUCAGGGGACACAGUCACCCCACAAAAGGGGCCUUCUGACAGUCAGGGGACACAGUCACCCCACAAAAGGGGCCUUCUGACAGUCAGGGGACACAGUCACCCCACAAAGGGGCCUUUUGGUAGUCAGGGGAUACAGUUACCCCACAAAGGAGCCUUCUGACAGUCAGGGGACACAAUCACCCCCAACAAAGGGGCCUUCUGACAGUCCCCUAGAUCUAUAACAGCAGCUCUCUCAGAUGACCUCAUGUCUGACUCCUUAUCCUGGGGUGGUCUCUUUCCUGGACUAAGGUGAAGGCCUUCUGAGAAGUCGUUCUUACAAUUUAGUCUGUUGCAAUUAGAUACAUUACUCUGUGAAAGGACAACAGUGUCUUGUAUAUAUUCUUCAGGUAGAAGCCUGACAAAACGAAUUGUGGUUUUUCUCAGACCCCUGUCUUUACUUUUGUCUGACCAGCUUGGCUAUCUCAUGCCCAGCUGCCAGCCUUCUUAUUUACUUUCCUUGGUGUUCCUGACUGGCCGUUUGAAUCCUGAUAUCUUAACGUUCCUGUUAAUCCACACCUAUGUUUGCGGUAUAACACUUCCCACCUCCAGGUGGUCGGGGAGCACAUUGGCCUCUAAAGGAAUGCCACGGGGAGGAUGUUAGGUAAUCAAAUUGCCAUUGUACAUACCCAGGAUGUCCCACCUGGAGCAAGGGACGAGUUGUAGGGAAACCUCCAGCUAAGGUUGGAAACUCCCAAGCAAGAGAGAUUCCAAAGUGGGGAGCCCCUGGAAUCUUCAGGAUGACCUGUUUCCCCUGCCCUACCCAGGGGUGGACAAAAGGCCUCCAGGAGUCACCAUAGCAAACUCUUCUCUUCCAGCAUGCUCCCCUCUCAAGUGUCUCCUUAACCAGCAGUGAGAAUUGUGUCUUACGGCAGUACUGCCUGGCUUCCAAACAAACUGGGGGGUGGAGGGAAAAGUCCUCAAUGAAGUGGUCUGAAUGAGAAUUCUAUUCUGCAACUUAGAUAUCUCUCACAGGAAACAAGGGAAAUGGUCUGAAUCCUGUGUGUCCGACCUUCAUGAUUCUCUAUCAGGAUCCAUUGGUCUGUCCAGGACACAAAGAAACAGAGGAAAUGGGGAAAGAAAAAAUCUUGGAUGUUCUAGACAAACCACUCCUGCCCCUUAAGAGUCUCUCAAGGGGACCUCUGGUACUCCCUCACGAAACCACUCUAACCAACACACCUCCUGAACCUGACCCCCAACGUCUCGUUUUAAGUUCCCAAUAUGUGGAUAAUAGAACCCUAUAUUCGAAAGCAUGAUCAGAGCUCCCACCACUGAAAGACAUAGCUGGAACUAAGCCCUUCCUGACAUCCAGUUACAUAAGGGGAAAACAGAAAUCGCUCCAAGAACCUGGAGUAGUUUCCCAGUGGCUUACAGACCUGUUUGUGCUGGAAAAUGAUCCUCUUGAUCCACAGAGACUCCUAGAACUGUUUAGACUUUCCUGUUCCCUCCCCACCCCCACCCCACCCCCCAUCACACACUCACUUGUUGCUUUGAAGGGCUUAUUUUUAUUCAUGAAUUCUUUAUUGACUUUAGCAGGCAAGCCUCUUUGCCAGGGAGAAACUUGAUAAAAUUCUAGGUAAUUUUACAAUUUAGACAGUUCCUGAGGUGGGAGGGGCGGGGGAGGGAGAGUAGCUCUCCUUCGGACAGAGGCUCGGCGCCUCCCUCCUCAGGCUGACCCUUGAGCUUGGUAUGCUUAUCAGCCUGGGUUCAGGAUUGAUAAAAACAGCCACGCCCAUUCAGAUCUCCUUGCAAGACCUCUUAUAUCCCCGCGAAGUCAGGAAGGCAAGACAGGUUUUUUUCCAGGCUUCACCCAACUGUAAAACCGUGUAAUACUCACUCUAAUACUCUUCUCCUGGCUGUGAAACUAUCAGUCAUAAUCCUUACCCGCCCCCUUUGGUGAUCUUCAUACAUCCUAAGGCAGGCUCCCGAGGGAUCAAGAUCAGAUAGAAAAGAUGUCUCUUUUCUCUCUAUCCCACUACAUUCAAGACUCCAGUUCCUACUGGCUUGUGAGUGGGAAACUCCACUGACUACGGGGAAAAAACCAACAAGAGCCAUACUACUCCCAUGAGGUACGUCCUUGGAUCAUUGGAGAUUCCCACACUUUUGUGCUAGGGCAUAAGGAAGGAAUUCCAGAGACGAUGCUAAAAGAGGGGACAGUCUUACAGUAUGCAGGUGGUCUGAUCAUCUCAUAUUAUUAAGAGCCCAAAUUUCUUGGCAGAGAGGGGAUAGAAAGUGUCAAUUUUUUUAAGGCACAAAUCUCUCUCAAAGGGGGUAACAAACCUAGGACACUCCCUUACCCUGCCCUGAGGCAACUUAUACCUACCUGACUAUGCUAGAAUGUUCACACACACAAUCUCCAGUCAGCAGUAGCACUUCUUUGAAGCGAUUACAAUUUUCCCAACUUGAGGCUUAUAGUAGAGCCCUAUCUAAGGUAACCGAAGGAGCAGAAAUUAACCCAUUGUAAUGAAAUUCAGAAACACAGACCGAGACUUUAAAACUUGCUCACCUUAUGCACCUGUCACAGGAAUCCAAACAUUCUCGUGGACAGGUUACUUCUCAAAAUGAUGCUCAACCCUGACAUAGGAGAGCCACUCAGGUCCACUCCAGAGGAAGGAUGGUACACUGGUGGCACUAGUUAUGCCUUCCAGGGUCAAAGAGAAGCUGGAUACAAGUAGAUCCAGCACAAGCUCUAUUCUCUUGCACCCACUGGAGGGCAUAACUAGUGCCACCUUGACCUGAGUCCUUACCCGAUGUAAGAGGGAAAGACUAACAUUUAUACUGACUCCAAAUAUGCCUUUACGGUGUUACCGACCCAUAUACCCAUAUGGAAGGAAUGAGGGUUACUGACGGAAAAGCAGUCCGCACUAAAACACCACAAAGAGAUUCUUCAGUUGCUGGAAGCUGUUAAUCUCUCAGAGAAGGUGACAGUGAUCCACUGGAGAGGUCAUCAAAAGGACCACAGCUCAACCUCUGAGAGAAAUGAAAAGGAUGACAGGCAAAAGCCAGGGUGCUAACACGCCCCCCUUCGCCUGUCCCUGUUCACCUUUCAGUAAGAUACCAGACAUAUGACUAUGGCCUCCCAGCUUAAUGUGUUUGUUGCAUUGCAUUUGUGUGUGUGUUCAGGUACACUCACCUAUGUGCACACAUAUGGAGGCCGUAGUAGGACAUCUGGGGUCCUCUUCUUUUCGCCUUAAUUGCCUUGAUGGUCUCUCACUAAUCCAACAGCUCACUGGUUUGUCUAGGCUGGCUACCCAGCGGACUCUCAGGAUCUACCUGUCUCUGUGCCCCAAUGUGGAGGUUAUAGGCACACAGUCAUACCUGGCUUUUUAUGGGGAUAUUGGGUAUUCAAACCCAGGUCCUGCAGUUUGCACAAGUAUUCUUCCUACCUACCAAGCCCAUUUCCCCAGCCCACUUCCUGCCUUUUGAUAGGUAUCAGCUUAUUGACAACCAUGAAGUUCAAUGUCAGACAUGUUCCCUCUGUGUAGUUUACAGCCCAAGGCCAAGAGUACCCUCCCUGAUUUUACUCUAUUUAAAAAAAAUAGUUGUACAGGUAAGGGCUGGUUUGCCUCCAUGGGCUUACAAGCAAUUCCUAGCAUCAGUAGAUACCUAUAUGGAUGGAAUGGGUAGAAUGUUUCACCAGCCACUAAGGUGGUUAAUGAAUUCCUCAGAACAAUUAUUUCCAGAUUCAGUCUCCCGAGAUCACUCCAAAGCAGUCAUGGACCGUCCUUUACCUCUUAGGUAACCCGAGGGGUUCCAACAGUAACAUCUACAUUCCGCUGGCACACCUCAGUUUUCUGUUAAUAUAGAAAGGGCCAAUGAGACUUGUAAUUGUUCACUGGCUAGCACGUGCCAGGAGACCUUAGAAAAUGGCUCACCUACUCCCAACAGCCCCAAUGAAGAUAAGAAACACACACCAUGAGCUUAAGGUGAUCCCUAUGAAAUGCUGUACAGCAGGCUCUCUCUUUAGAAAGAGGUUUGCUCGUUGGCCCUGACAAGACCCGCCCACUAAGGGACCUCACUGACUUGGGCCACUUUCUAUAAGCCAUCCACGAGUACAGGACCCCAAGCCCUUUCAGCUCUAGACCCUAACCUUAUCACUCUUGAUGGUCAGACAAACGGGAUGGGGGGGAAAGACUUGGGCAAGGAGAUCUUUAGCUAUUUGUGGCCACCUUGGCAGCCAUAUACAUUACUGAAAUGCUCAGCUGGAUUCAACUCUAAAGUCAAACCACCCCCUCCAGAUGCUUCUGUGCUGGGAGAGCCCACCAAAGAGUCUCAGAUUAAUAUACUCCUUUGAGCCAUAGACAAUAUAAAAUUCUUCUUCACAAGACACACUGACCAAACAGAUAAAUGACAGUUGAUCAGUGUGCUCUGGGGCAGCCUCUAUUUGAGGUAGAAGUGUCUCUAGGAUUGUCCCCUCUUCCACUAGAUCUGAUUGUGAGUUCCUGCUCACUUCCCCUGGGGUUGAAUCAUUCCUUAACACACCAGGCUUCCCUUCAAAGAACCUUCCUCUGCCUUUUGUAAUCACAAACACCCUAAAAACCUUUCUUUCGACUCUUCUAUUCCCUCCCAUGUUAGAUCUUAAAGAACCCACUGCUUAUGACCUAGACAGUCAAACUGCUUCUCUUUGAACUUUGAAGUCUCACCUACCUCCCCGGGCUGUGUCUCCUCUUCAGGUUAGAACUACAUACAGCCAGCAUCAGCCCAAGAAUGGGCUUUAGGAAAAACAAGGACAGGACAUAUGAGGCUCGUCUUUCUGGUCUUCUGCCAAUUGGUGGCUAUUGUCCCAGAAAGAAAGAAGGAGAAAAAAACUCUGGUCCACUCCCAUACUAAUUACAAGUGGAAAUCUUUCCCUCUCUACCGGACUGUUGUUCAUAUAUAUGUAUAUCCAGCCUGGGAAGCGACUGCCAGGUUCCCUUUCUGUAUAUGUGAUAUGGCGAAGGUGACGCUGGCCUGUGAGUGGGAAACUUACCUGCCUAUCAUUGCUAAGCUACUUCCCUCCUGGGGACUCUACAGCUACUUAAUCAUUCCACUGGGAUUAACCUUAAAGAUAGCUGUAAUCUUUUCUCUCUGAUGUCUUAUCAAACUUCUAACUUAUCUUAUGAAUAAUUUAACUCCCUUUUUGUCCUGAAAAAGGCCUACCUUGAGGUUAUCCUAAGCCUCUUACCUGCAAAACGCUAGUAAGAACAGUUAUUUUCUCUUUACUGACCAUGGGGCAGGCAAGCAUAGGGAAUAGUUUAGCAACCUAGGGCUCCACGUGACUUAGGCUAUGCACACAGUUUUCAUCUGAUAUUGUACUGUCAGCAGAGACUUACUUCAGCUGAGCAUACUGUCCACAUGCAUCCCUCUUUAUGAACAAUAUUCCUUGUAAUUUCUUAGCAGCCUGCAUCUCCAUGGAGCUGCAUACAUGUUCUACUCUGAACAACCGAGUUAGAAGUUUCUCUUCCACGAAUGGCUAACCUCAAACUUAGACUCUGUUCAAUCAUACUCUUCUUGUGUCCAGGAAUACAAAGGCCCAUCUGACCUGAGCUAGCUUUGGGGUAUGUACCAGGCAAACUGUGUCCUCCUUAGGAAUUUUAACGAGAAUCCCCAAAUUAACAUUUUUAUGUCUAUGCAUUAAUUGCACAUGCAUACAAUUAAAAUCAGAUGCACUGUGGAAAGAGGCAAAACACAGUACCGAAAUGGUGAGGUAUCUUAAACUCUCCAUCAAAAGAGAGAACUGCUCAAGCUGCGUCCUUAGAACCAAGUUCCUCUUCCUCCUCCUCUAGAGCCCCAUAAAAGGGAAGUUUACAUAAUUAUCAUGGAGCUGGACCUACGGCUUCACUGUCAAUCUUGAGAAUGCAGUCCUUUCCCGUCUGUCAGCACUCUGAAUAAAGAGGCCUUGCUACUUUGCAGUCUGUGUUCUCCUUUAUUCAUUAUGAGUGAGAUGCCAAGGACCUGGAAGCAGGUGCCCAGAGCCCCACCACUACGACAGCUAGGACUUAGGUUCCUCCCAAUUCCUAUGGGAUCCUGAAAGAGGUGCUUUGUAUUUCCAAAGAUGAGAAAACCAAGCCCAGACACCAAUCCUAAAGAUUUUUCCCCCUUUGGUGGGGCCCAAUUCGGCAGCUCAGGGAUUAAUUCUACAGGGUCAAAUUAAGGACAGGAUAGACCCACCAUUUACUCAGAUCCGUAUUUGAUUGGGUUUUUUUAUUGUUUGUUUGUUUUAAGAAUUUUAUUUAUGCAAAGACAAUUUUUGCAUCAUUUCCAUUCAUUAUAUGUGGAUAUAGACAUAGCCUGAUGAAUCUGCUUAAUGCUGCUAGUGUAUGUAUGUGCUUAGGGGUGACUAGCUGUAACUGGAUAAACUAUCAGAUACUCAUCCUUAGAAAAACAGGAUUCUUCUCCUUUCGGGAUCUACUGUCUACUCGCUGCCCGAGGCUGUUCAUCUAAGGGCAGGAUCUUAUUUCCCCCAUCCCUGUUGACAUGUUAGCUGGUGUUGUCAUUGCACGGGUCUUGCUCAGGCAACCAUAUUUAUUUCAUGGGUGCCAUUUCUCUGUCAAUGUAUAGAAGACAUUAUCCCACAGCAGAUAUUCUGUUCCUGGGGCUCUUGGUACCUUUCCACCUCCUUUUCUAUAGUAUUAUUUGAUCCUUAAAGGUAGAGGGUGUAUUUGCAUCAACUGGGGUUGGGUACCCCAUAGUCGGUUUGUCUUCUAUGUGUUGACUAGCUUGUGGCUACAAAAAAAUAAAGUGGUAGGUUCUCCUCUAGGAUCCAUGACAUCACCAUGGCAUCACCAGCCAUGGGAUAAUUUGCAGUACCAGCUAUGCAUUCUCUCCUAUUGAGCAGGUCUUGGGUCCAAUUAGCAAGCUGUUGGUUACCCUCGAGACGUACAUGCCACUAUUGCACGAGCACAGAGACUUUGCCGUUCUGAUCAUUGCUGUGGCUCGAAGAAUCUUUGGAUACUAUGAGAGCUAGUUCAUAGGGAAGAAGCUUUCAGAUCAGCUCCAUCUUGAUUUCUCCAACUUCUGUGUCCAAAGUGUGUGCUGUCUUCCACAAUAGGGCUUUGCCCUCAAGUUCUGUGAGUCAAUCAGGGGCAACAGAAAUAGCCCACGUUGUUUUGAGAAUCCCUUCACUUUAUUGACUAACAAUGGAGAGGUUUUCCAUGGUUGACAUUACAGAUUUUCUCAGUCUAUGGCUUUUGAGGGCAGCAUUCUCACCCCACAUGAAAUAACUUUAUUCAAACUAUGUCUAUGUGUCUAUAUACACAACACAUGCACACAUAGGUAUGAAUCUUUAAAUGGCUAGAAUUUUACGUAUACAAGGGUUUUGCCUGCAUUUAAGUGCGCCGUGCGAUAUAGUGCCUGCAGAGACCAGAAGAGGGCAUCGAAUCCCCUCUGGAAUUGUAGUCAGAGGUGGUUAUGAGCCACCCUGUGGGUGCUGGGAACUGAACUCUGUCCUCUGCUAGACUGCAAGUGCUGAGUCAUCUCACUACCCCCUACAUUUUAUUUUCCCCUAUGGCUUUUCCAAAAUAUCCUUAGUAGUAUACUCUUCCUCCUUUCCUCACCUAGCAUUGGCCUCUCUCCCAAUGUCCGAGUUAACUGCCCCAUUUUUCUCACCUCCCCCUUCACAGCCUCUAGGUUUCCUUUUCUUCUGCUGUCCUUACCUAUGGUUGGUUCUUCUUUACUUUUCUGGUUUCUGUGCUGGCUCCACGAUAUACUCACACUGGAAGCUAGGAUCGACAAACGAGAGACUGUGCUGUGCCUGUCUUCUGGGUCUUGGUUACCUCAGUAUAAUAAUUAGGGAUUCAUCAGAGAACCUGACCUUAAGACCUCAGACUAAUUAUCUUCUCUAUAAGUGAAAGCACCAGAUUUUCAAGGUUAGUAUUAGAUAGGGGAGGGGGGUGUGAGGCCUGUCCCCAUAUGGACAUGUGGACUGCAGCUUGCUCCUUGGAAGUUAAGACACCAGAUAACUCCUUGUCUUAUGUUUUCCUAUGUAGAAACAUUCCAUCCCAGGUAAGCAGCUUCCUCGUCAAUGCCACUCUGAGUGGAUUACAUACUUGGGGCCUCCGGCUAGCAGCCUAUCCACUAGGAGAAGUUCUUCAAAAAUCUAACAGCAACAACUAGCAAAAGAGACAGCCAAGCCAAGGGCUUUUAGGGAAACAGCACCGUCUCACCUACGUCCAAGAUCAUUUGGAUUCCCUUGCCGAGGUUGUCCUUCAAAGUAGAAGGGGCCCCAAGGAUGGAGCAGGCGCUCGGCCUGCAGUUAAAGGCCCACACUGCUCUCUCAAUAUCAGAGUUCAAGUCCUAGAACAAGCAGGCAGCUCACCACCACCUGAAGCUCCAGUACUAAAGGUAUCAGAUGCCUCUGGCCUCCAAAGGCACCUGCAAUUGUGCACUUAUCCCCACCCUACCCCCAACACACACACACACACACACACACACACACACACACACACACACACACACACACAUUUAAAAAUAACAAAGAUCUGAAACUAACAGCAUGGACAAGCCUUUGGCUAACUUAUAGGAGUACAUGGGGUGACCUGUUAAUUCCUCCAGGUGAGAAUAAGACCAUGCCCAUAAUCAAAGUUAAAGCAAGUACUGGCCAGAAUGGUGGACGUUGGUCAGCUCCAUUCCUGGGUUCUCAGAAAAUAGAGAUGAGUCACAUUUUGCAGAGUUUUAGGAAGGCAAACCUUAGGCCAUGCAUUUUCCAUUUAAGUCCAAUCGGGCAAAUAUAUACCCUGACAUACUUCCUGUUCCCUACCUCCCGCCUACAUCCAUCGGGGCAAGCAUACAUCCUGGCAUAUUUCCUGCCUCCGUACCUCCUGCCUAGACAGGAUGUGAUCAAGCACAUCUGGUGCAGUUGGGUCAAACAGAUGCGUGUAGGGGAAUGGAAACACGUGACUUGAUAUUCUUCAUAAGGAAACAGUAACCUUCAGCAUCUCAGGAGGGGGUCUCUGUCCUUGAGCCAAGGGGCCUACAGGUUAGAGGUGUUUUGGUUCCAUGGCUCACAACCUGCCUGUGUCUUACAGGAAAAUGUUGCUUCUAAGUGAACAAGACAAGUAAAGUCCCACAAAAUGUUGAAAAUAUUCCUUUUUUCAAGGAAGGCGGUAUGGUCAAGCCCUUGAGUAAUAGACCUUCCCCAGCAUAGGUUGAAAAGCUGGGGUCUUACUGGCCUCCUUCCUCUAGCUGUGUCUGCUUUACCCUUAAUUUUUCUGCUGAUCCCCCCGCACACACACACAUCUUCUCAAUAAAUGAAUAGUUCAUUUCUUCUAGGAUUCAACAAGUCUAGCUUGAAAUGGCACUAUAACAAGACCUCAGGCCGAUUCCAGAGACAGGGACGGAUUAUCCUUCCAGGUCAACCAGAAUAGGAGCCUGACAAUUGCAGCAAGGAGAACAGCCACCCUGACCACCCACUUGACCCCUCGUCAAGGGAUGCUUGGACAAUUUUUAGUCCUGCCCAAGGGAGCCUCCCUUUAGGAACGGUUGGAGAGACCAUCUUCUAGUUUUUACAAUGUCCGUAUUUCAAUGAAAACCAGCUCCUGGAACCUUAUCCUUUUGCUUAUGUAAAAGAUUUAAGGAGAACGGUCUCUCAGAGGGAAAGUUGAGGCGAGUUAGUGUAGCAACAGCCCCAGAGACUCAGUCAACUCUCCCUGAAAGAAUCUGCACUUGUCCCUUCCCAGCAAGGCAAGAGCCUAUCAGCAACUAGUUUUUGGUUGGAUACCUGCUUGUAGAAAAAGGGGGCAGCAUAAGCCAGUAUUUAGCACAAAGAGAGCAGGUCUGCCCUUGAAAUGACCUGUCUCAUUACCAUCUCAUGAAUAUGCAUGAUUAGGGAUACUUGUCUAAACUUAAGAGAUAUACAUCCAGAGUAUGUAUGUUUAAUAUUAUGGGGUUUGCAGAACAUCCCAAGUUAUAUGAUAAUGUAUCUGCCAGUCAAGCCAAGGGGCCACCCAGUUUCCACACCUGGGAAUCAGCUCCUUCCCCACCCCUAAACUCAAAAAAAAAAAAAAAAUCCUUGAAAAACACAGGUAAGGCACUCAACAGCCAUCUGACUAGAGCCUGACACUGGCUUGCAGUGUAUCUGCUCUAAUGUUAAUUUCUCUUCUGACAAAACCAUUAUCUGUUGUGUAUACUUUCUCAAUCGUUUGAUAAAGUCUCCAAGAACCUGGGACUCAGAGCAAUCACUGGACUCCACCGUACCACCACGGCUUGCCCUCUCUGAGACGGGUGAGGCUCCAGAGACUGUUCUGAGUUAGGCUCUCAUUGUCCGUCCCUAUGAAGCAUUACCUGUCAGUGAGUCAGACUCCGCCAAGCAGUUACAGUCUGAUCACUGGGGGUGCCGAGCGGGGUGGGGAAGUCGGGGACGUCCUUACUGUGGGUCUUUUGUCUCUAUACUGAGAAUGCAUCCUCCUGGAGGCCCUGCACCUAGUCCUGCCUUGCCUGUGUGACAACCCACAAGCCAUUGUGCACACUGGAAAUCUCCACUGGGAGGAUUCAUCUGAGUUCCCCCACCAGUGGGCCACCAUCUCUGGUGCACACCCUCCUCUCCUGCCUCUGUACAGUGUCUGAGAGCAGCUGUGAGUCCUGGGACACUCCAUCCAAAACUUAGUACAUCAGCCAUGGCCCGUGCUGAGAGGGAGAAAGACACCCCCGUCGCUGCUGAGCAUCUGGAAGCAGAGCCACUCAGUGUUGUGUGUGUUGAAAUAGCUCUUGCUCCUUAAUUGUGUGUUGCUCGGGGUUAUGUUAAAAUUAGUAUGUCCAGGAUAUAGCAGUGAGGAAAGAUGGCCCAGAAACCUUUUUUAGACAGGAAAGGGAAUGCUGGCCUGCUUUUCUCUGUGUUGCACAGGGACAGAUCACAAAGUGAACCAGAACUGGUAAAGAUGUUUAUUUCCUUGCUGCUGUCUUUUUGUCCCUGGCAAGGAGAAGGGUCUCCCUACAACACAUUACGGUCUGUCUUCUCCUCGAAGGGUUACCUUCCUGUAUCCCUCAGUGUCCCAAAGGGGCUUGAAAGGCUGUGGCUUUCCCACGUUCUGAGUUCCUUGUGCCCUCUAGGCCAUGAUAGAUACACAAGUCAGUCUAUAAAAGCUCCCAUUUUUCUUUUUGUCUUUUUCCUGGCUGCCACCUCCAGGGACUCGUUCAAAUGCUCUUGAAAAAUAUAUCCAGCCACUGGAUGACAGGGAUUACUGCACAAGUGUGUCAGUUAACAACCUUUUUCUCGUUCAUUGAGGGAGGGGGGGCUGAGACUCACAAGUGGAAGUCAGAGAACACGAGUUGGUCCUCCCCUUCCACCACAUGGACCUUGGGGAAUCAAACUCAGGUCAUCCGGCUUGGUGGCAAGCACCCUUAACUGCUGAGCCAACUCAACGAUCCAUGCCUCAGAUUUUGUUCAGCCAUAUGAUUUCAAGAGUCUGUUGCUGAAGCUGGAUCCUGGCUUCUGACUGCACAGAGCACAGUCACUCCCCCAACUUAAGAUGUUGUCUUAGGGUUUCCAUUGCUGUGAACGGACACUGAGACCAUGGCAAGCCAUAAAAGGAAAAGCUUUGAUUGGGACCACCUUACAGUUUCAGAGGUUUAGUCCAUUAUCAUCAUGGCAGGAAACAUGGUGGCGUGCAGACAGAUAAGGAGUCGGAGAAGGAGCUCAGAGUUCUACAUCAUGAGGCAGCAGGAAGAGGCUGUGUCACACUGGCCAGACUUGAGCUUUUAAGACUUCAAAGCUCGCCUCCACUAUGACACACUUCCUCCAACAAGGCCACACCUCUCAAUAGUAUCACUCCCUAUGAGCCAAGCGCGCGCGCGCGCACACACACACACACACACACACACACACACACACACACACACACACACACACGUCUCUAGGGGCCAUUCCUAUUCAGACCACCACAGGGGUUCAUACCCCAACACCCCUAGUGCGUUAUUGUUUUGAUAAAUACUGUGGUGGCCAGUCUUAAUUGUAAACUUGAUGAGAUAUAGAAAUCACUUUGUCCGUGAAGAUGUCUCUACUAAAGGUUGACUAAGGUAGGAAGACUGGUCCUGAAUAUUGGCAGCAGCAUUCCACAGGCUGAGGUCACAGAGAGAAAAAGUCAGAGCAAGUUGAGCACCAACAUUCGUCAUUGCCUGCUUUCUGUCAUUGCAGCCCCAGCAGCCGCCUCACACUCCUGCUGCCCCACUCUCACUGCCGAGAAGAACUGCCUCACAGUAAGCCCUUCCCUGCUCCCGAUGCUUCUCUUGGGCAACUUUCGUCACAACAAUAACAAAAUUAACUAAUAUACACAUACAUAGAUAAGAGUUUUGGUUUGGUUUGGUAAAUAGUCAUUUUUUUUUUAAUUGUGUGUACGUGCCUGCGUGUGUGGAUGUGACUGAGGAUGUCCACUGAGGCCAGAGGAGGGCAUCCAAUCCCCUGGAUCUGGAGUCACAGACCCUGGAUAUGGACAGUGUAUUCAGUAUGAACAAGCUGGACAGACAGCUUACUUCCUAAGAAGGGCAUUGCAAGACAGCGUGUACAUGAAAAUGCAUGUAUGUACUGUUUCCUUUUGGAUUUUUCCACAUUAACGACAUCUUCAGGCUAUGACCUUCACCACGUGGUGGCUGCUUGCCCUCUGCUGCAGGUAAUCAGACUGAGAGACUGAAUCUUGUUUCUAGUUUCUGGUCAUUGGCGAGUUUGAGCAUCUCUCUGUGUGUCCCUUAGGAUCCUGUAAUUUCUGGUUACUUGCCUGACUUUGUAACCAGUUUCCUGUCUUUUCUUUCCUUUCUUGCUGUUGUUGUCAAUGUUGUUUAAUUUGUUGGUUCUUUUUUGUGUCGUUUGUGUUUCCUUUCCACUGCAGUACUGGGGAGUGGUGUACACAGCUACUGUACUGUGUAUGAGGCAGUUUCUCUACCUCUGUCCCUUUUUUAUAUUUUAAGGUGAGGGUCUCCUUAAGUUGUCCAGGCUAGCCUUGAACUCACUCUGUAGCCCAGGCAGGCUUUAAACUUUGUAUCCUUUUGCUUCAGCUUCCAAGUAGCUGGGAUUACAGGCUGGUGCUACAACACCCAGCUUCUGGGUUGAAAAGUUGUAAAUAACUUCACAUCCACCACCAAUCUGUCAUCUUGGCCCUUUAUUUAACACCAUUUCUUUGCAUUUUAUUUGUCCCCUAACUUACCCCCUCUCCACCACCACCAUACACACAGCGGGAGAGAGAGACGGACAGAGACAGAGAUCGCACCCCCAUCACUGCUCAUAACAAGAACAAGCCCUCUUCUCCACGACAUCACAUUCACCUCUCGAACGCAAAUUUAUCUCUGGAAAUGAGAGAACACUACCUGUGCACCAGCCCUCAUAAGCGCUCACUAAUGGCCACGCCACCACCAGCAGACCUCCACACUAUGUAGCACAUUACAGUGGAUGACAGGAGAAUCUCAUUUCCACCUUUUCCAAAUUGUCAUAGGAAUCAAUGGCCCCCUCUUGUCUCAUGAGGUUCGGUACUUGUUAAGGCACUAGACAGAUGGCUCAGGAGUUAGGAGCACUUGCUGCUCUUGCAGAGGACCUGAGUUCAGUUCCCUGCACCCUCAUGGCAGCUCACAACCAUCUGUAAACUUUGGCCCAGAAGAUCUGACGCCCUCUUCUGCUCUCCACGGGCACUGUACACACAUGGUACACAUACAUACACACAGGCAAACACACACACACACACACACACACCCAUAAAUAGUCCUCCUCACUCUCUAAGCCCAUCCCCCACACUCUGCCAUUCACUCACUGUUUUUAAAGCAGUGCUCCUGUGUGGGUUCAUUUGGAAAGUUUCCCACAUUGCUAUGAACAUAGUCCUAGGUCUCAUCGCCUUUAAUAAAAGUUAAAAUCUCAUCAUUAAAGGUCUUUCAAAUUCUUGGUUAGACUUUUCCCAAGGAAACGAUUUCAUAAUUUUAUUUUAGCCCUGAAAGAAGCAUUCAUUUCUCCUCUUAUGGAUUCUAGCUGGCUUGAAGGAAAAUUUGAUUUUUUUCCUUUUGUAAGUGAUCCUCUUGGCUAAUAACUUGGCUGACAUUUUAUUGUAGUGAUUCCCCUCUUGACUCUGUGUUCCGUUGAUUCUGUGUUUUGUUCCAGGUCAUAAUAUAAGAUGAUUAAUAACCUCCCAGUUAGUAGACAUUUUCACAGCAAAUUGUGAGAUGUCAAUUUUAUCACAUUUAGGGCGAUUCCAGCUGUACGGCCGCCUCCUUUCAUAGAUUUCAUGAUUCUGACUGACACUUGGUUGCUUAUGAAUUUACUUCUAGAGUUGGUCUAUCUGCCCAUUGUAUACUUUAGAAUAUACUCUUGGACUCGGAGACCUAAUAUUUUAUUAGGAAAUCCAAAUUAAGUAGAUUGUGAUAUUCUUUAUCUGAUCUUGAAGCCAAGUACCAGCUAGUACCACAAAAUAUGUGAGACAUACAACUCUCUUCCUGUUUUCUGAAAUAUCCUGGUUCCUUAAAUUUGGUGAAACUGGCCUGAAGACUAUGGAUGUGGGCCUUUUAUCCAGGGAAUAAGGCAUGGUUUUAGUUUUCAGUUCCUUUCAUAGCUCUACAUUGUAGACAUUUUCUGUUUUCCUACAUUAUAUAUAUUGUAUAUAUCCUAAUAUAUAUUAUAUAUACUUUUUAUUUUAUUUUUAUUAUAUAUAUACCUUCUCGUUCUUGACAUUCUCGUUUUGUGUGUGUGUGUGUUUGCCAGCCCGUCUCCUCCCUGGCACUCCACUUUGUGUCACUUGUUCCUGGUCACUUUUGCAAUUGAUGUCCUCAUUUUCAUUGCUUGGCCUUUUUAUCUGGUGAUGAGAACACGUCCUCGUAAGCAUUGGCUGUCUCUGUCCUCCCUGGCUUCUUUCUUUACUCCUCUUCACUGUUUUAUAUUUCCCUAUAUAAAUGCCUCUUUAACUAGAAAUUAUUUACAAAGAGGUGACAACUCUCAUGAACUGAACCUUAAUUAUUAAUUAUUAAUUGGUGGUAUUCUGAUCUGGGACUCUGGGCUCUCCUCACUCUCCUUGCCUAAGGAACUGUGAUAGCUUAAAAGAGGUUUGCUGUGUUGACCCUUGUUUGGCUCUUUGGGUUUUGUGUGUUUUGGGGUUUUGGUUGUCAUUUGUUGUUUUGUUUUUGAGACAAGAACUGAUCAUGGAGCUCCCAAACUUGCCUCAGUCUCCUGUGUGCUGGGAUUACCCAAUCAGAGCCUGUGAAGACUUCCUGUCAGCAAGGCAAAUGUCCAUUCGACUCUCAGCUUUGAGGGAAGAGGUGUUUGUUUUAUGUUUAGUUGUGUUCUGUUGGAAUUGUUAAGAUUUGUUUUAUGUGUACGGGUGUUUUGCAGCCCCUACUCCCCCGCCCCAUGUGUGUGUGUGUGUGUGUGUGUAUGAGACUGUGUGUGUAUGUGUAUGGGUGUGUGUAUGAGACUGUGUGUAUGUGUGUAUGUGUGUGUUUAUGAGACUGUGUAUAUGUGUGUGUGUGUAUGAGACUGUGUGUGUGGUGUGUGGUGUGUGGUGUGUGUGUGUGUGUGUGUGUGUGUGUGUGUGUGUGUGUACACAUCACCUACAAACCUAGUACCCUCAGAGGUUCAGAAGAAGGUGUUGGUUCCCCUAGAACUGGAGUUAGAGACAGCUGGGAGGCAGGGUGUAGGUGCUGGAAACCCCAGUCCGUUGCUUUUUUUUCUGUCUGUAGGUUAGUUGAUUAAUUUCAGAGAGGUUGGUGUUAGUAGUUUGGUUUGGGUUUUUUUGGGGGGGAGUGGGGGGUAGAGGUUGUUUGCAUAGUCCGUAUCCAAAUUCAUAUUCUUAAAUUUUAUCACAGUGGUAUCUAUAAGGAUUUUCUUUUUUCUUUUUCUUUUUUUUUUUUUUUUUCAGAGCUGGGGACCGAACCCAGGGCCUUGUGCUUGCUAGGCAAGCGCUCUACCACUGAGCUAAAUCCCCAACCCCAUCUAUAAGGAUUUAAAAAAAAAUUUUUAUCUAUAUCAUCAGGCAUUCUAUGGGCCUCUUUCAAUAUGAAGUCUUACAUGCAUUUCUAUUUUCAAAAAUUUAGUCAUUGUAUACAUUUGUAUUUCUUCUUUUCCUUCACCGUCUAUGGACCUUGGCCUGUCUUCUUCAUCCAGUCUCCAUUUGUUUAUCCCUUACCUCUCUUCCCUAAUCCUUUUAGGAGACGUCCAAAACUCCAUCUUCAGGCUCCUGGAAGUGUUCUGGGUGCCUUCUGCUGAGUCUUCUGCCUAAAGUGGUGGGUCUUCAAAACUGCUUGCUCUUUCUGCUUCCGGCGUAACCACAGGCGUUUCUUUCAAGAUACAAUGUUCAUUCCAAAUUCCUCUUUGCUUAGGGCAUUUCUUCUGUUCCUUCCAGCGCUGUCUGGAAGCCAUCUCCUUUCCUAUGGACCCCUUGACCAGCAAUCACCAUAGGGGAAAGUAUGCUUCUGGGGUUCCACUGCUGUGUCAUUAGUGAAGGCAAGGGGCUCUUGUCGAGGGGCAGAGUCUCCAGGAGAGAAACUUGGUUGGACUCAGAACAGGGACCCCAGUCUCAAGGAAUCUCCCAGCUGCACACUUUUCUUUCCUGGGCUUAGGGAAGAAUCAAAAUGGAAGACUGUAACAAUUACCGUUAACAUUGUUAACCUGACAGGAUCUGAAAUGGCGUAAAACAAGCCUCCCAGUGCAUCCAUGAGGGAUUAUCUAAAUUAGAUUAAUUGAGGUAGAAAAAGGAAAAGGCUAGCUGAGCUCAGUAAAGCAUUCACCAUUCUCCUUCAACAUUCAGAAACAAUGACCAGCUGCUUCAGGCUCCUGCCUCCGGGGGAUAGAUAGCACCAUUGUACUGUGAACCGAGAUCAACUCUUUCUCUUUCUUCUGGGAAUUGACUUUGUCAGGAUAUUUUAUCACAGAAAACCAAAGUGAUACAAGGACUCAGUUCUGUUCCUCUUGCCUUUAUUCCACUCUAGCUCACUUCACCCUGUCUUGAUGCUGACCUCCACUCAGAGCCAGGAGCGUAUAUCUGCAGAGCUACACUUCUAUCCGGGGUGACAAGAAGAGGGUACAAUCUCUGAGGGAAAAAUGGAAUGUCCUUUUUCUCAGCCCAGGCCCAUCUCUGCACACGUUCUACAUCCUUUCUAGCCACAGUUUCUACUUUUCUCCCAACUGGCUGCAUUUUCCGUUGCUUUGGGAACAAGGAGCAGCUUCCCGACCUUUCGUCCAUUUCUUCUGGAUGUGAGAUGGAUGGCUUUUGUACCUGUUUCCAACGAGGUCCCUUCUGGAGCUAGAAAUCAUCCAGAUGAGGUUGCCAAGUCCAAAAGAGCCUGGGAGGGGAGGCUGGGUAGUCCCUUCGGCCUAUGGCCAGUUAUCACACAAUAGACUUGCUUGCUUUUCCGCUUCUCUUUCUAACCAUGUUAUAACCCAACACUUAGGUCCAUUAUCCACUGCCUUGGUGUCUCUGUACUCAAUAAACAAACAAACAAGGAAACAAAUUGGCAAAGGAAAGUGAGCUUUUUAGAGUUUGAACAAACUGAGGAGAGAAAGAGCCUACCUUCUCACUGCUGUGUCUGACAUGUUAUAGGAAGCGGAGAGACAAAGGCCAGAUGAGACACACAGAUUUGGCUGUUCGGUGUAGUAAUCAUUUGUUUUCUUGGGACAGGGUGACUAAACGUCUGGCAGCCACCUGUCUCAGGUGGAAAGGACUGUUCCAAACCUCCAAGUCACACUAUCACAGCAGCCAUGAAGCAGUAUUUGCUCUGCAUUGGCUGCCCAAGGCCUCAGACUUCCCUCACAGAAGUCUCCAUUCUCCAUUGCCUUCCACAUAACCCCUUCUAUCAUUGGUGCUUUUCCCACAUCAAGCUAUUUGGGAGGUCUUUGGUCCCUCGUAGACAGAACUGUGGGAUCCACAUGGUGAUUUAGUACAUGGUGGUGGGCCUGAAAGUGUCCGAAGUCACUGCUGUCUGGUGGACUAUCACCUUCUCAGGGCCUCUCCUGCCUCCCAACCCUUAAAUAGGAGUGUUCCUCAAGUCUCCAACUCCACCCUGCCCUCUAUGCCUCUUGAUACUAAUCUUCUCAGCGCUUCUUCACAGUGACUUUGCAACCCUGACCUUGUGCCUCUACACCUCUUCUCCAGGGCCUUACCUCAAAUCUCUUAUCUCCCUGGCCCUCUCUGAGAUGGCCACUGUCUUGGAGUCCACUUCCACUGUGGUUGACAAGAGCCCCAUGAGCAGCUACUGUAAUUUCCCCAAGUGGCCUUACAGCCUCUGCUCUUAGCUUCUCCCUGCCCAGUCUCUGAAAUGUAGGCAAGUGGCUAUUUCUCAACAACCUAUGGCACUUCUCGUGUGAGCCUACAUGGCUGCUGACUUCAAAGUUAACUCAUUACAGGGCAGUCCCAGCCCUAGGACUAAAGUCUGAGCCCUGAUCCCUUCCCUGUACUGCCUCUGCCUCAAGAGAGGGGAUGUUCCUCAUCUCCCAAGAGGCCAUGGACCCUGCUUCUUUCUGGUACUUCUGGCACCGCAUCCUGAGACUAGGAUGUCAAUGCCUUGUCCUUUGCUUCUGUUUUUCUAGCAAGUCUCAUAGUGCUGAGAUGUGCAGAAAGAUUGGGUGCGUGAAUGAAUGAAUGAGUGAAUCAAUGAUGCCUUGUGUGCUAGCAAUCAAUAUUCUGCUCUGUAGCUCAAAACCUGCCUCCAGUGUACUAAUAGUUACGGUUACAGCUUGGUGUCAGAGUGGAGGCUUAGAUAAUCGUUUUUAAAUUAUGUUAUUUGGCAAGUUCAACAGAUGGGCAGGACAAAGAUAUGGGAAAGGAAUGGACUGGUUAUUGGCUGUCUACUUAACCACUUCUCAGAAGGGGUCUUUAGGAAAUGCUAUGGCAUCUAAUCAUGGAAAACUCCUGGGAGCUGUUUCUUUGUUGUUGUUGCUGUUGUUGUUGUCUUUUGUUUGUUUUUGUUUUUGUUUUCUCAUUUCUUGCUGUACUAGUGAACUGAACUCGGUGCCUUGUUUGCUACCAAGUACUCUAGGAAUUGAAGUUUAUCCAACUAUGAUAUCUAUCACCGCUUUGAUUAUCAGGAUUCAUGUGGGUCAUCUGCCAGGCUAAGAAGGUGUCCCCUUCCUCACUUACUGUUCAUGCAUGCCUCUUUCGAGCUGCACUUGAUUAAAGAGGAUGACCUUUCCUAGUAAAGGGGACCACUCUUUGGUCACAAGCACAUGAAGAUCUGAGUUCUCUUGCCAGAACCUCUAAAGAAGAUCUCAAGGUAAAUGCUUGACUACUGAGUUAAAGCUAUAAACCUCUAGAAUAGGUUGCAAACAGUGUUUCCUGCAUUUUGUGACCUGGGAUCAAGGAAUAGAAAGGGUAUCUAUCUCUGCUGAGUACACACAACUAAAUGGCCAUACUCCCAUAUUGUGCAUGCACAGGUCCCUAUAGCAUCCCCAGAACCAUGCUCUUUCCAAUCAUGAUUGGCCAAGUAACCAUGCAGGUUGAAGAGUUGGAAGGAUGCGUCAGAGGCAACACUAAUGCCAGGGUCUUGGUAAGAGUCCAGAGAUUCCAGCUGACGUCAUAACAGGGAUCCAGACAUAGUUCUGGGGCCACUCAGAGGCCAUGCUGCCCAGCUCUGUGUCCAGUCGGAUAUGCCUAUGAGAACAGUGAGGGUGAUGGUAAGCUCGAGGGCCUGAGAUGUUUGAGGGUGUCAUUUCUGAGAGGUGUCUUCCAUGAGGUAGAAAGAGGUCAGAUUUCUUCUCUCUACAAGGAGGGACUUUCUCACCUUGGUACAAGAAAAUGUCUACAGAAGUGGGAGGAGACAGAUCAUGCACAUUACCCCCACUGGGGCAGAAGACUUCGGGUUCCAAUAUUUGUCUGGGGGGAAGAAAGGUAGACUUGAAAGCAGCAAACAUCACUAGGUGUGCCAAUGCCAGUAAGCCUGUGGUCUGACUCAGCAGUGGGCAUUGAAUAAGACUAAAGAUUUUUUUCAUCUACUUUUCCCCAAGGUGACAAGGAUUGAAGGUUCCUAAGUGUGGUUUGAAUGGAUCAAUUUUUAAAGCUGAACUACCUCCUAUGAGGCAAAAAUGGCUGCCCUGGGCUGUUUAGAACCACACUUUCUUCUGUUUAGGUUUCUGCUCAGAAGAAAAUCAAUGACCUUCGAUGGAACUUUUAGACUCGGUGGUACCAUACAUAUAACCAAAUAAACUUACAGCAUUGAAACAGAAUAUUUCUGAAGUGGUUUCUAGGGAUUUGUUUUCUUUUUUAUUUUGCUCCUUUUAUUUAUUAGCCAUCAAUCAAAUGGCCCUCUCCUUCCGCCUUGCUCUCUGAUAGUCUGAGACUGGGGACUCAUGGGCACUCUAACCCUCCCUAUCAGUUGGGUCUGAGGCAACAGUAGGCAGCCUGCUCCUGUACUCCUUUAUUGCCCAAUAAACCCAAAGCACUGAGGCAUUUGUCCUGAGGGGGCCUCAGGCAUUGCCUGUCGUAAUGACUGAUAAAGGAGAAAUCACCUGAGGCCAAACCACAGAGCUGCAGUCUGGCAUUUCAGAAGCGUGGGAGAAAUAGACUCUAGCGUUAGAGAUGAGCUUGGGGAAUGCCUGGUCUUUCCCAUUUCGGAUGAGGGAACUGAGGCCUGCACCGCUGAAGAGAGCAUUGCCAUACCCCAACGCCAGAAUUCCAAAGUUGGCCAGACGCAUAGAAGAAGGAAACCAAGUUUAAGCCAAGCACAGCAGCGUGUACCUGUAAUCUCAACACUUGACACGGUAUGACAGGAAGAUUACAAGUUUGUGUCCUGGGCUACAUAGUGAAAACCUGUUUCAGGAUGCAAACCACAGAAAGAAAAACCUAUGCAUUCUGCAGGGAUAGCCUGACCUGGAGCGCACGGUGAGCACCAGUAGUAGUCUUUCCCCACUUCUGAUGCCUCUGCUGACCUCAGAUCGAAGACCAGUCCCACCGCAACCUCACGCGGGCAGCGCCCUCAUCACUCCAGGGCCAUCAGGGAACUUUAUCAGCUUCCUGGACUAGCCAGCCCACCCCGACCCCAUAUCACCAUCACCAUCAGCUCAUGCGGUGGAGACCCCAGAAUAGAAAGGCUACCCAAAUUCCUCCCCACGGCGGUCAGUGGGGACAAAGGAAGACAGUAAAGAGGCUUCACUGAUUUGUUCAAGAAA